UCCGUUCAGGUGCUCGAGAUUUUUUUGAAAUCCCAUACACACAAUGAAACUAUGCUACCAUACCAAUUCGACAUUCUGGACUCAAUGGAACUAUCAAAACUUUCAUCCAAGAUCAUCUCAAUUAAAUGUGAGCUCUAUAUCUAGUUUUGGUAUAACUAAAUUCUACCCAGUAGCCCAAAAUAAGUUCAGAAGAUUUGAGACCUGGACCAAGGGUUCCCAUAGCCUAAAAUAAACAUUCUAGAGCUGAUAGAGUCGUUGGAUUUCUCAUUCGAGGCUAUUUACUAGGAGUUUUUGUCCGAGACCGAUUCCCUAAUAGCGAUAACUCUAAAAUAGGAAAAUGUUCCUAAAACCCCAAACGAACUACCUGAUAAUCGAAUCAAUAGUUUUGACAAGCCAUAAAUGACUUGUAGCCACUGUGGAAAAUUUUGAAAUACUGAAAAUGUACAAAAUUAAGGAAAUGGACUGGAGGGUCAUUACAAUAUCUACUACUAAAAGAAAUUUCAUUCGUGAAAGUAAAUGGAUAGGAAGGGCCUAAAAGUUUGAUAGAACGAGGUAGUAGGCCCGCAUGCCCCGAGCAUGACUCCUCAGAUAACUUCUGUGAAGAGAAUACUUCCACGGGAUUUUGCUAUAGGUACCCUUUUAACCAACUUCCUUACUUCACUUUCCAAAUAACCAAAACUCAACCUCAAUAAUUAAUUGGCCUCUAACAGAACCGAGAAUGGUUGAUGCCAGUAAAUCCAAACCACAACACACUAAUACGAUCACAACCAAGAAAAACUCAACCAAUCUAAGGAAAACCCAAGUCAUGAAUCAUGCAACCAACUCUAAUAUCCACAUAUUACCUUCUUAUGCCUUUCCAAACCUGCUAUCUACUCUGAACCAUGCAAAAAGUCAUUCGAUCUUUCCCGUGCAAUCACAUCAAACUAACCUUAAAAGACUAAAGCUGAUCUACAAAUAAUCCAAAACACUAAGCAUAAGAAUAAGUCCAUAAGGUGAUACCUGGGCCCACAAAAGGAAAUGGUCAAAGCCGAUGAUCUCCUACCAUGGCUACAACUAGUAUGGAUGACUCUCAAAACUGAUAGUUAGGAGUCCGAAGCACAAACACUCAAAUUGAACGAUCUUCUCCCAGGUGCUCCACCAACGGAGGAUGAAACCAUGCUAUGUCCAACAUAAGUACAUUUCUUCUGUUGUAUAGAUAUUUAAAAUUUCUGAUGAAGAUUUAAACUUGAGGCCAGAAGUAGAAAAAACCAUCAUCAUGUGGCAUCGUGCUAUCAUCCAAAUAGCUAUCAACCAUAAUUUGCUUGAACUGAAGAAGACUGAAUAGGUAGUUAAAGAGUAGGCUUAUCUAGCCUAUGGAUGAAAUCCCAAUUGAUUCAAACUUGAAAAGAAGGGUGCAACUAAGUUACACAAUCCAAAACUAUAACUUCAUCACCAAAGCCAAACUACUUGAUCCCAACUAUCCAAACCAAUCCUAUAGGCUAGUAAGCAUCCAGACUCCAAAUUAUAACACAAUUUUCGAGUUGUCAUUCACAAGAGUCAAAAUCAUAAACUUGAGCCAACAAGUCUAAUCUAAGGCCAAAUACACAAAUAGACCUUACUAUCAUAAAGCAGGCAUAUCCUUAACAGUUUCUGCAAGAGCUGAAUCCAAAAUGUAGUUGAGAAUCAAAUCACAAUAAAGAAAAAACCACAGGCUAAAUACAUAAGCAAUCAACUCUACAUGUACUGGAGGACAUAAAGUAUCAAGCAUAAUUGAGAAAAUGUCAGGGCUGCAAAGAGUACUAAUAGUAGCCAAAACUCGAGGAACUCUAAGGACGACAACCUUAGCCUAAAUUUUUCCAAUCUACAAUGACGAAUAUCCAUAGAUAGAUAUAACCAAGGAGAAGCAAUCCAUAAAGUCUUAAUAGGCCGAACAAAUACCUAAAUGAGUGUUUCCUAAAUUCUCCCAUUUUAUUUUAACUUAAACUCAACUGGGUCAUGAACUACAUCACAACAAAAAUGGAGUAUCCAACUCUGGGCCAACACUAAGAUCAAAACUAUCACCAUGAGAUAACCCAACAAACCAAAAAGGCAAACCAAAGACCUUUCAAAAUCAUUAUCAAGACCACUAUCGGGUGAUGAACUAGCUAGUUCGAAAAAUGGAUCCCAAUAUGGUCAACCUAAAAAAAAGCUAUAGAACAAUAUAGCCAAUGCUAGAAUCCCAUCAACCAUAGGAGUAAGCCUUUGUAUUUCAAUAUCAGAAAUGAGAAUUAUAACUGAAUUGCUAACUCUAGAAUUACAACAAAACCAUGGAAGACCAAACCUAUAUUUACUUUCACAAACCACUUAGUGGUCGGUCUAACCUCACUAAAAGAGAAAGAAUCAAACAACAGAAUUAGUUGUCUAAGCCAACAAAUAGAAUCGCGAGAAAGGGGACUCUAGCCAGCUAAUGCUAAUCUAGCUAGCUAAUGCUAAUCUAGCUAUCUAUCAAGAAUGAAUCAAUAACAAAUAAAAUAAUAACAAUAGAAACAAACAACAUAAGCCAUAAUAGGUACCAAAAUGGAAAAACAUAACCAAAUACCACUCUAAGGUCAUAAUAAGGUCAAAAUGCCAAUGAAAAGGAACUUUAACCCAAAUGCUACACCCCAAGGGAAAUACCACACUGAUCCAUUCAAUCCACUACUAAAAGAAAUCACAUAUGGGGGUAUUCACAUAUGUACGAAAUCUAUACCAAGGCAUAUAACAACUAUUAAAAAAUAUCAAGGUAUAUAAUCAUCGAUGGGUAUGAAAACCUCAAUUUAACUCAAAUAAAAAGUAAAAGAUAGAAAAUUAAAUGUGCAUCUAUCAUGGUAGAAAUCCAAAGUUAUAAACCUAAUAUGCCUGAAGAAGUAUGAAUCUAAGCGGGUCUAUACUCAGACUGAGUGUAUGAAUCACCAACUAAAGCACUAAGUACACUACCUCUAACUGAAGGCGCCACAUCCCUAUGAGAUGGAUUUGGGUAAGGUAAAUGGUUAAUAAUGCCAUACCGAGGACAUUCUCUAGACCAAUGAAAGAUCUUUAUGCAGUCGUAAUAAACCCCUGGAGCUCUAACCUAGCAAGAAACAAGACUUAACCCCAAUUGUCUCACCAAAUAAUGUUAGGGACACUCUCUAUUGAAAUGAUCAUCCUUCCUGCAAUCAUAACAUACCUCAGGAGCUCUAGGCUAUCAAGGAAUAUAUGUUAACCCUGUCAAAACAACCAACUCGCAUCUGGGGAACUUCCUAGACUAAUGGCCAACCUUAACCACAAUCAAAACAAGAUCGUAAAAUACUCUGAGGUACUGCACCCACUGAUCUAGAACGGCCACCACGACCUAAAAUCCAUACUGAAUACUUUGCAAGGUCUGUCAAGAACUCUGUUUAUUGUGACCACCAUGACUGAUCUAAGGGUUAUCUAUAGUAUAAGAUUCUACAUAUAUGGAACCAACAGGUUACAAGUGAUUUUGAUCCCCGCUGAGAGGAUCCCUACUCCUAGACGAAAUACCUGUAAUGAUAUGGCCUCUUAUCGCCACCUUUAUAAGUCUCAAUAUAUGCUCUCUUUAUGGUCCCACGUGAUCAACAACUUGAGAAAAAAAUACUCAACUGCUAUCAAAUGAUCUAAUGCCAAACGUAGUGGCAAAGCUAAUCUACCAAUAAAUCCAUGCACUAUCUCAUACUUUAAAAGAUAUAGCAUAGGAGUGUGUCUAGUCCACUCAAGAAACCUAAUCUCAUACUCUGAAACUAAUAAGAAACCUCACUUAAGACCAACAUACCCAACUCUGGUCUGAGAAUUUCUCAAUGUGUUGAACAUUAUCUAUAGCUGUGAGGUACCCAUAAAAAGGCUCAAAAUUUCCAAUGCUGAAUUUUAAAAGGCUGAAGCAGUUACUGACUCUACCAGAGCCUAGGCUAGACCCAAAUUCCCUAGCUAGCACAGAAGAUCUUCAAUAUUAAUGUCAAACUCUCUAGCCCUAUAUUGAGUUGAAGCUCUAGGAAUAUGUGUAAAAUCUCAUUUGCAUCUAUCAAUAACCUUGUGUAAUCCAUCUAAAAUAUAAUAUGGUCAAAGAAUCUACAAAAGGUUCAUAGAAAUACGAACACAUGAAAAUAAGUCAAGAAUAUAAUUUUCUAAGAAUGCUUUGUAGCCUCCCGAAGAUAGGAUACAGAUGUCUAUAUAUCGAUCCAUAAGCUCUACUAGACACUUAGCUCUUAACCAACAAAAUGAUAAAUCUAGGAUCUGAUACCAAUUUGUCAUGAUCUAAUUUCUCAGGUCAUGAUGGACCUACCCGUAGUCAUGAACAGCUAGUAAUGGACUAUCAAAGAAAAUGAAAGAAAAUGGUAGAACAAAUAUGAUAAGAGACUAAUAGAUAUAAAACAAACCCAAGGCUUGGGUAAAUUAGUACAAGAUCUUCUACUACAAUCAGAAUACAAAGUAGAAAUAUAAAUAAUACAUAUCAAAGAUGUCUCUAAAUUCAAAUAAAUAUCAGUCUAAUAAUUAUGAGGGAGAGAAGGGACACUUCAAACACCGGAACUCACCCUAAAUAUCUAAUCCAUGGAUGCUUUGCACGAUGUACAGAACAAUGGCAAGAACUCAUAUUAUGAUUUGUAGGCUACAGAAGUGUGGAUGUGUACCAAAGAUGUGGUACUCAGUAGGUAUCAGCCGAUUGAGCUCUAAAGAUAAUGCAAGCAUGAAUAACAUGUAAAGAAGGAAUAUAAUAUAUAGGAAACUAUCCAAGAAACUAAACAUGAUAAUGCUAAGGGAUCAAUAAAGAUAAACUUAUACUAUUCUAAUAGUAUUCACGAACUAAAAUACAAUAUCAUAUAACACUAGUCAAGAUACAAAAGAAGAGUAAAAAAAGUUGUAUAGUAGUAUAAAAGGCUAAGAAGAGAUAUAAGACAUGAAUAGACAAGGAAAAGAUAAAUAUACGGUAAUACAUACAUACAUACAUAUAUUUAUAUAUAUGAACCAUGAAUUAUCUUAUUAAGACAAUUCAAUCAAUCCCCUAUUGAAAGAACUCUUCAAGAACCAAACGGUCCCUUUUCUUCGUACUUCAUAUAAAUAAAUCUAAAACCCCAAAGUAUAUCUUUCCACAGAUCGAAAGAAAAAAUAAAGUUUGAGGAAAUAUUUAUUUUUAGAUUCUUUUGUAUAUUAGAAAAAGAAAUAAUCUACUAUUUUUUCUUUUAGCAAAUCUAAAAUUCAAUAAAAUAAAUAAAAUCACUAGGAGGCUGGAAAUGAAAGUCUCUUUCUCAAUCAGGGUCCCUAAUUAUAAUGUCUAAUCAUGAGAUAGCGACCAAUAAUGUAAUUUACCUUAAAGGGAUCAGAAUCAUAUCAACAACCUCGGGAACCAAUCCAUAAUCAACCUACCAUAAACAAACCAUAAUAACAAUAGUAAAGUAAUCAGCUAGUCCAGAUAAACAAUACCUAAUCGGGACCCCAUAAACCCAGAAGAUCCAAUCAAAUACUCAGCAAACAGUAAUCAUAGAUUAUACCUAUACAAUCCCCAUAAGGCUGAUAGAUGUAAGCACCAAACAAUUAUACUAGUGAUAGGCAAUGUAUAUGAAUGAAUUCAGCAUAAACUAAUAGUAAAUUAUAACCGAUCCAAGUGUCAUAAUGUACCAAGUGUAUACACCUUCUACAGAUCAGUAACUCACAAAAGUGAGACCUUCGAUGACCACUCUUCUUCGGCAUUGUGGCUCACAGACGAAGGAAAACUUAGGGGAUUUAGGAAUAUUCGUAUACACUGUUUAAUCCUGAUCUAGGACUUUUAAUAAUAAUAAUCAUCAAUCUACUCCACUCAGUACCAAAGAGAUGUAUAUAUAAUAAGUGCAUGGACACAAACCAUGACUAAAAGAGUGUAAGUCUGUGAAUUUAUUGCUUAAGAUAAACUUCAAAAUUAAAUCAACACAACAACAUAGAAAGGGUCAAAAUCUCUCUCGAUUGAAGUAAAUAAUAGUGGUAACAGAGUGGAUAAACAAUGAACAUAAAACAAUCUCGAUCUAAUAAUAUCAUCUUUAGUUCCAAAAGCUCAUAACUCAUUAAAUAAAGUGGCACGAUUCCCUUAUAGAAGAAUUUAUUUCAAAAGUGAAAAGUGGGAAUAAAUUUUUUUUUUUUUAGAAAACAAUAGUAAAAUCAUGGCUCUGGUUGAAUCGUACCACUAAGUGAGCAUGAAUACACCUAAAAGUAUGCAUGCCAUUACCAGUAUCUAAAUAAUACAACAAUAAGUGCCUAAACAUCCAUAAACUAGAAUGACUCCCUUUCUAAAGGAAAAAUACUCACCUAUAGUCCAACUGAUAUCAUAACCAUGGCCUCAGGCCUAAUAAUAUAUGUAACUAGCAUAAUAAUAGCACUAUAAUCCAAGAAAAUACGGUUCAAGUCACUAAGUUAGUUAGUAAGUCUUAUGCUAAAGGAUCCUUGAUAUCCAGCUAUAGUUAAUAUGCUUAUAAUCUAGGGUGAUAGGAUUUUAUAGUCGUAACAAGUAUUUCAGGGUCGGGUCACCUUUCUAUCUCUAAACUCCCUAAUUUAUAAUCAUAAAUAAGCCUUAUUAUCCUUACCUAUCAUGUGAUCUAUACCAUACACCAUCUCAUAAAGUAAAGUAGAUUGAAGCCUACCUCGAUAUCAAGCUGAAUUUCUUGAAUCAUCCACCAAUCACUCGUAUUUGCUCCAUGAUCCUAAAACACUGUCAAGCUAUCAAAAUAAUAAUCUAUGCGUCAAUAGAAGUAAAAUAAGACCCUUAUUUACUAUAAAAAUAUUUGGGUUGAAAUUUAGGCCAAGAACGGGCCCGUUGGGCCCGCUGGGCCUGCAGAUGAAACUCAAAAUUAAAUCUGUCGCGAGGUCUCUCGAAGAACAAGGAAUGUAUGCUCAAAAUUUGAGCACAAAUAGAGCAUAAAUUGGGGCCCAAAUCAUCCCCUAAAGUCUAAGAAUGUUAAAACCUAAAUUCUAAUAAAAAUAUAAUAAAAGGGGAUGGAAUUUGACGGGCAAAAUAAUGGAAAAUGACUAAUAAAUGUUGGAUUAACUUAUCUUAAAUUCAAUAGAUGAUUAUCCACACUUUCCCUGCUCCAAGCUCUCAAAAAUUGAGGAAAGGGGUUAAGAAAUUAGGGAGAAAAUGGGUGAAGAAGGGGAUUUAUCCCCAGCAGCUAUCGCUAAAGCGACCAAAUGAUUGCUUAAGAGAUUACUUCUUAAUUGGUAAAAUGACCACUCAAGCGAUCCUCCACAAAAAUACGGUCUUCAUUUAUGCGGUCGAGUGUCCUUUAAGUGACCUCCGUUUAUGUGAUUAGGCCUCUGCUUAAGCGACUAGGCGGGGUCAAAGGUUGAUCGCUAGAGCGAUCCUGUAGUCACUAAAGAGACCACUGCUUAAGACACCAAAGGUCGACUUAAGCAAUUGCAAUAGAUGAUGCCAGACACCAGACUUUUCUAAGUCCAAAUGGACUCCGAUUGGAUGCUCGAGAUUUUUUGAAACCCUGUGCGUGCAAAUGAACUAUGCUACCAUACCAAAUUCGAUAUUUCAAACUCAAUGAAAUCAUCAAAAAUUUGAUCCAAGAUUGUCUCGAUUAAAUAUGGAUCUCACACUUAAUUUUGUUUGAACUAAAUUCUACCCAAUAGCCCAAAAUGAGUUUGAAAGCCUCAGGUCCUAAAUCAAGGGUCUCUCUAGCCUAAAAUCAAUGUUUCAGAGCUGAUAGCGCCGAUGGAUUUCUCAUCCAAUUUCAUUUACUUAGAGUCUUGGUACGAGAUCAAUUUUCUAAUAGUGAUGGCUCAAAAAUAAAAAAAAUAAACGUAAAACCUUAAACAAACUGUUCGAUUACCAAACCGGCAGUUUCAGAAAGUCAUAAAUGACCUCUAGCCACUAGGGCUAGCCAUAUUUUGAUUUAAACCAAAAAAAUGAAAAAUCAAACCAAAAUUUUAAUUUCGGUUUGAUUUUUCAAUUUUUCUGAUCGAUUUUGGUUUUCAAUUUUUAAAAUUUAGUUACAUGGUUUGAUUUUUAGUUUUUCAAAAAAUAAUUCCGAUAAACCAAUUAACCGAAAUUCUAUAAAUAAUUAAUUAUAUAUAUAUAUAUAUAAUAUUUAAUAUAUAAUAAUAUAAUAUAAAUAUAUAAUAGCAACCCUAAUAACUAAUAAGUAAUAGCAUGCCACAUACAACUAACAACACACAUCAGUCCAAUAGUCGAUCAAUCGAUUGAACCAUAGACCGCUUGCGAGAUCAUCGUCUGUACAACAACACCAGAGCCGGCGACCAGACGAUCAUUGUGGGCUGCAGCCCACAGUGCCGACUGUGGUCUUUCCGGUAGUGACCACUCUUUCGAGUUCCGACUGUUUAUGCAAACUUAUGCAUAAUGAAGUUAUAUAUUAUGUAAAACUUAUGGUUAUGUCAUUUAGUUUCAUCUAUGUUGAGUUAUUUAUAUCUGGGAAUGAAAAAUAGGUUUGAGUUUUUUUUUAAAUCAUUAAUUUUAAAUGUCCAGUCAUAACAAAGAGAGAUUCACUACUUUAAUUUUUAAAACCGAAAUAAAAAUCCGAAAUAACUGAGCCCAAUUUGUAGAAAUCGAACCGAACCGAAUUUAUUUUGGUUUGGUUACGGUUGUCAUUUUUGUCAAUCCGAAAAUUGAAAAACCAAACCGAUAUUAAACUAUCAAAUCGAACAAACCGAAUGCCCAGCCCUACUAGCUACUAUGGAAGGCUUGAAAUGCAAGUGACGCAUGAAAAUCAAGGAAAUGAUCUGAAGGAUCAUUACAUGCGUAUAGUAUUGUUUGAUUUUCGGGCUUUCAUUAGCAAAAGUGCUAAUCAGGACUGAUUUUCUUUACUUUGAAUACAUUUUCUCUUUAUAUUCAUUUUGAUCACAAAGAUUCUUCUUGAUUUGGUCGCUUUAUUUAAAAAGAGUGUGCUAACCAAAAUUUGGUUUUCAUACUUUGAUCAUGUUUUCUUUUUAUUUCUAUUGGAGAUAUGCAUAUUAGAAAAAGUACCAAUAGGAUACUUAGCCUAAAUCAAGUUCAGUAUAAGGCUCAGAUUGCCCAUGAAAAUAAUUGUUUUUUGGGGUUGGAGUUAGAAUUGGAGUUGACGUUGGAGUUGGUGUUGUGUUUGGCCAUGAAUAUAAAUUAGAGUUGGUUCUCAAAUUUUGUGAGAUAAAUAGGAGUGAAAACAAGUAAAAUAAUUCUUAUGGCCAAUGCUACUAUUUUCACUUUUUCACUAAAAUAAAAUAAUUUUUUGAAAAAAAGUAAAAAACAAAUCUUAUGGUCAAACGCCUAUUAAAUAGAUAAACACCCAUUAUAUGUUAAAUCUUGCAUUAUGAUUGUAAAAUGCAGAUGCAUCUUAAUUGGUUAAGAAAUUAUCUAACAAUCAAGACAAAUUUAUUUUUGGUAAGGUAAGUAUACGCAGUCCAUAUCACUACCUCAGAGGUGAGAUAUAGAGAUUGUUUCAUCGUAUUAUUUUACAAAGAGACUACAAAUAAGAGCUUUUUGUGAAAAAAUAUGUGAUCAAAAUUCUUCUGAAGUAUAUAAUCUUCUGUUGCUUUUAAUUUGUAAUUUUAUAGGAAAAAAUUAUCUUUGUUGAAAGCACUUUUCUCCUUUAGAGAGAUUCAGCAACUUUGAGUGUUGUAAUGUUGCUCUUUUUUUAAUAAAAAGAAAAAUUUGUUGAUAGGUGGACCUUUUCUCCCUAAGGUUCAUUCCGUAAAAAAAGAAUAUUAUGAAUGUCUACGAGUACGCGUAGCUCCAUCUUUGGAGGUCCUACCUCUUUGAAUUCAUUGAAUCAUCUUCUCUAAUGUUGUCAAAUGCAAACGGUUAUUCAUGUUUUAAGAGUUGAUAUGUCUAUUUUCACAACUAUUUUAUGCAUAUAUCCUCAUAUUUUGAAUUUGAUGUUCAUAUAGAUAUGCUUCCGCCAUAUGAAGGGAAGUUGCCAGUGUUGGAGGUGCUUGUCAAGAAAGUUGGGCAACUUAUAGAAUUAACUUUAUUUAAGGUACAAUUAAGAAACUGUGUGGCUCUUUUCUCCUUUAGAUAUUUGCAUUUUUUUCUCGUUAUGUCUUAACAUGUGAUGUGAAUGUGGGGUGGGGAUUUCAUAAGAUAUAAGAAUUGAGGAAAAAAAAAGUUGAUUCAGAAGAUUCACUUUUCCUCGUGUGACAUGUGUAGAUCGACGGAUCAUUAACCCUUCUUUACAGUGCAGCCUUGGUUGUUGCACUUGAAGGUAACAAGAAAAGGAAUGUUUUCUAUAAGGAUUUAUGGGUAAGGUACAAAAUAUGUCAUCAAUUUGGAAUGUGGAGAGUAAGUGAAUUUCAAUACUAUUUGGAAUAAUUCAUCACCACUCAUGAGUUCAUCAAGUUGAUUAUAUUUAAUUUGAAUGUCUAUUUUACUUUUUAAGUAUAGAAUUGAUGAUUCCUUUGCAUAAAUAAUUUUAACAAAAAAAAUAAGGUGCACCAAUAUUGGGGGUUUUGUCUCACCAUGAGGUAUUCUAUAAUUUCAAGACUUAUAUUUUUUAUCAGUUUGUAAUUAUUAGAUUAGGAGGAUGUUUUGGAAAAGCUUAUAAGCCGGUUAAAUAGGCUUGUAAAUCCUUUUUAGCUUAUUUACAUGUUUUGGUAAAUAGCUGAAGUGCUUGUAAGGUAAUUUUAGUCAAAAGGCAUAAGUUGGUCACUCUUAAUAUAUGCCUUUUUAGUUUGUAAGCACUUUUAGUUUGAUCAAGAAUCUGACUAUUUUAUCUUUGAUAUUUUUUAAAAUUCUCAAAAUAUCUUCGCGAAAUACAAGAUCUUAUUUCAUGUUUAUUGUUUAUUCGUAGUUUCUCCUUUUAUUUACAAAGAUGCUAUUGAAUUAGUUGUUUUUUUAUAAAAUCUUACGGGUGUUUGUCAAUUUUUUUUAAAAAAGUAGCUUGUCUACAUAUUUUUUUUACCAAACACGUCAAAUUGUUUAUGACGUUUUAUACAUUGUGUUGUUGGUUCUGGUAUUGAUCCAGGCAAUGUAACAAAUAUUCAAGCGGGAAAGAUGGGCCAGAAUAGACUUUAAGAGGCACAUUUCUUGUAUUCUUUAGUCGGUCAGAUAGCAAUAACACGUUGUUCAGUGCUUUUAUGCCUCAUGCAAAAAUUGUAUUAUCCUAAUAUUUAUAUGAUGUAUUGAAGAAUGCAACCUGCUGUUGAUGAUUUUAUGUUCUUAUAUCCAUAGAAGAUAGAGCACUAUCUCUUUUGCACAACAAUAUUGCAAAAAUGUUCGUGCCCAGCACGAGUACGGGUCAUCUUAUUAAUUCCUAAACAAAACAUCAGUUUACCUUAAUUAGAGCCAUUAAAUCCCAAACAAAAUAUUGAGUAAUAAAACCUAAAUAGUAUCUCUCUCUAUCGUAUAUUCAAAAUAUGUUUGAAAUACUUUUGUUCUUCUUUUGAUUAAUUUCAAAAUUCAGCUAUGUUUAGCCUUUAAUAUAAUCAUCGUCAGCUCGAUCUGAUACAUCAAAUUUUUAAGCCUGUCAUGAACUAGUCCGGAUGAAUUGAGUUAAAUGAUAUUGAUAGUUCUAAAUAUUGAAAAAUGUUACUAGACAAAACAAGACGCAUUUUGAGUUUAUCUAGGGGCGAGGAUACAACAGAACAAGACGCGUUUUGAGUUUAUCUAGGAGCGAGGAUACAACCUUAAAAGAAGGUUUGAAAAUCCCAAAUUAGGUUAAAAGAUUAACUAAUAAUUGAGACUUGAGCAUUCUCUUGCUUUCUUACGGUUCAUACUUAAAAAUAUUUUUUCUUACCAAAUAAUAUUAGCACGAUUCCAUUAGUUUUUUAUUUUUCAAAUUCGGUUAUCCCAUAAGGGUGUUCAAAAUAGAAUUGUAACCAAUAAUUCAACCGCAAAAUUAAUUUUUUGAUCUAUUGGUAAUGGGUUAUCUAAUUAACGAUUAGGGAACAGAUUAAAAUUUUAUAUUUAAUGGCUUAUCGGUGUGGGGAAGGCUACUCAAUUUUCUUAUUAAAUCGUUAACCCGUUAGGAAUUAUCAUAUUAAUAUCUUUACCCCUACAUAUAUCAAGUAUUUUUUGUAAACCCAAAAACUAAAACUCCAUUCAGUAUUUUAUUUACUUCUUAGCUUAGGAAAUAACAAGUCACUUCCUAUAACAUCUAGCCAUAAAGCGCAGUCAGAUUCCCUUAAACAUAAAUAAAACUUGAAAUUAGUUCUUAAACCAAAACACAAAUUAUUCUUGAUAACAUGAAGGACCGCAAAAAAAUUAAAACAACCUCAAUGUGCUCUUCACAAAAUUUGAUAUAAAUCAAAAAAAAUUCUAUUCAAAUUAAAGUUUAAAUUUUUUGGUUGACCCAAUAAUUUAAAAUAUUUCUAUAUACGUUUUAGGUCUAGAAGAAAAUUCUCAUUUGAUUCUAUGAUUUAACCUAUUAAAAUAUUGUAUGAACAAAACUCAGCCUAAAAGACUGAUAAAUAGAUGAAUCAUAGCAUAUAUAAACAACUUAGUCAAUGAAGAAAUUGAUGAUUUACCCACAACCACUUGAUAUCUCAUUAUCUCUUUGAUUUAUCCAUUACACUGUGUGAUAACUGUCCACUAAUUACGAACUGACACCGAUCAAUCGUUAUCUUAUAAAUUGGCUAGAAUAUUAGUACAUUUAAAGCCGAUAAUCAAUAAGUCAAAAAAUUAAAUAUAAUUGUCUAACCCAUCCGUCUGAUAAGCACCCCUACCAACAACUUAAAGUUUCACCGGAGAAAAUCACAUAUAUCUCUUUAUCUGUCACAUAGAAAAAUAUAGAAUUUUCAUUGCAUGCAGCAUUGUAACCGUUACGUAUCAUGACCUUAUUCAUUUUUUAAUCUAGACUAGAUAGGGAGGCAAUAGCAUCUCUUGAAUCGGAAGGGUUGGUUUACUCUACCAUCGAUGAAUGUCACUACAAGUGGACAAGUACUUAACGCUUUGCUUACAUACUCGGGGAAUCAGAGGAAAAAUCAUAGUUGACUUGGCCUCGUCAAAUAUAGUAAGUUUUAGGAACUAAUUUGUAGACAAAAAUGACUUAAGAGUACCUCUCAAAUCUUCAAUUAAAUAAAGGUGACAAGUGAAUUCCACAAUAUACUUAAGUUAAAAAGGUAAAGUCACUCAAAUAACUUGAGACAGUUGUUGGACAACUGCAUUAGUUAUUCCAACAGUUAUCAAAGUUUUCCGACAACUAUAGUAGUUGUCCCAAUAAUUAUUAAAGUUGUCUAACAACUUUGUAUAAUUGCGGAACAACUUUGAUAGUUGUGAGACAAUUUCUAUAGUUAUUGAGAUAACUUUUAUAAUUGUUGAACAAAAAUAUUAAAAUAAAAAACUGAAAAAAAAAUUGUCACUUUUACCUAGUCACUUAAUAACCCCACGUAUUGACAAAUUUGUUUGUAACUUUUAAUUCAAAAUCCCUGAUUUCUUUUAUUGCAGUCUAGCUUUACAUUGGAGUAUAUUUAUGGAUGAAUGCAUUUUUCAAUUAUCACCUUGUUUAGCAGUCAUUGUUACUAUUUUGUCUAUCGAAAACUUCUAUAUUUACAAGGUGGGGAUAAAAACAGCAUACAUACUAUCUAAUAAGAGAGAGAAAAGAGAAACACACAAUUGGUAGUCAACAUGUGUGUUUCUCUCAUUAAGAGGUUGUUUGGCUUGGUGGUGAAAGCCUUGCAUUUUAAGUGACCUAUCUUGGGUUCAAGCCUCUAUGGUCUAUGACAACAUGAUACUCCAUCCGUCCCAUUUUAUGUUUCGCCAUUUGAUUGGGCAUGAAGUUUAAAAAAAAGGUAGAUUUGGUAAAAUUUAUCAAAUUAUUCUUUAUCAAAAAUGUGUCAAUACCUUUUUUUUAAUUAAGUGGGACCAAUAAGGAUAAAAGGGUAAUUAUGUUUUUAAAAAGUUGCCUAAUAAAGAAAGACAACACUUAUUUUGAGACGGACUAAAAAAAAAAUGAUGACACAUAAUUUGAGACGGAGGGAGUAUUUUGUUUUGAUGUAGCAGUUGUUGCUUAUUUAUUGCUAAAUAUCUCCCACAUUAAUUUUCACCCAUCAUUCCACAAUUCAAUGCAAUGUUUUGAUGUAACAGUCGUUGUUUAUUUAUUGCUAAGUAUUCCCCAUAUUAACAGUUGGAGUACUAAUAUUUUUUUUUAAUUUUUGUUUAUAUUUUACAUUUUCAUUUGCACAAAAAAUGUAUUUUCAAUAAAUCAAAAGGUUUUUUUUCAAAUAAUUUAUAUAUUUAAAAAUUAUGCAAAAAUUAUUUUAAAUAACAAUAAUUAAUAAUUUUAAAAAUAUAUUAGAAAAUUAUUGUUAAAAAAAGUUGUUUGACUCCGAAGAUUUCACGUCUCAUAUAAAUUAAUGUAAAAAAGUAACAUAUUUCUUUGUUCUAAUUUAUGUGGUAGAGUUCGAAUUUUAAAAGUUAAACAAUUUAAUUUUCACUUGAAAUUUAGACAUAAAAUCUUCAAAUUUUUUGAAAUAACAUCAACAUAUUUCAAAACUACGUAAAAAUACAACGAGCCACAAUAAUUCACAAUUCAAAAUAUUUAAGAGAUGUAUUAAAAAAAAAAAUGAUCAAAGAAAAACUUGAUUGAAUCACAAAAUUCAUAAAUUGAGACGACGAAAAUAUUAUUUUCAUUUACAGAUACUAUUACUAAUAAAAUUGACGUUAUACUAAGAAAUAACUGAUUUUUAUACUGUUGAAGGCACUGGUCGCUUCCCAACUAGAUUUUAUAGAAGAAUGAGCAGAUCUGUGAAUAGGCAUGGAAAAGUGAAGACGUUAUUUGAAUUUUGAACUAGAAAUUGAAGCACCUAGUGCGAAGGAGCUGAAGUGAAAGAUGUGCUUAGAUGAAUUAAGAUUCAGCUAAAAGAAUAUUAUGGAAUGGGAAGGGGNNNNNNNNNNNNNNNNNNNNNNNNNNNNNNNNNNNNNNNNNNNNNNNNNNNNNNNNNNNNAAAGAGGAUAUAUGAAGAGACAAGGCACAGAGGGGUAGGAUGGCAGAUCAUUGGUAGCGGCCAAAUAUAGUUCAUAUUUCAUUGAGUAUGCUAAUUCAAAAAUCAGCAAUACUCUCCACUUGGGCAGCUGAUAUUCCCGUUGCACUGUAAAGCUCAAAUUUCACACCAGUUUCACUUCUUCAGACUACCAAGGCAAUCACCUAAGGUAAUAAAAGAUUUCCCCUUCCGAUGGACAUUUGAAUACGACAACUAUAAUUCUUGGAUAACCCUAUCAAAGAUUGUAAGAGGAACAACCACAAGUAAUCCUAAAACGGAACCUUUUAAGGAAUAAUUAAAAGUUCGAAAAUGGAAAAUGGAAACUUCAGGCAGAAAAAGUUUAACGUCCAAAUUAAGCAAUUCAGUUAACAUUAAUAGCAAAAAUACAAAGCCAUCAUGGCACCUCAACAGAAAAUGAAAAGAGACUCGAAAUAUGCUCGCCACCGCCUAUCAAGUACCCAGUUCUGAGAAUGGUUACCUGACAUACAAGGCAGAGAACUAGAACCUAAUAAGCAAAUCAAAGACCAAACUAUAACAUAAUUAAAUAAAACGUCUAGAUAGCACACUUGACGAUAAAAGAUAGCAUUGGAAACACUAGCAUUAUAAUGCACUGUUCACUUUCCCUUCUUCUGGGCAGCCUUUGUGACCUUGGCACCAGUUGGGUCCUUCUUGUCAACAUUCUUGACAACACCAACAGCAACAGUUUGCCUCAUGUCUCUAACAGCAAAACGACCCAAUGGUGGAUAUUCAGCAAAGGUUUCAACCACCAUAGGCUUGGUGGGAAUCAUCUUAACCAUACCAGCAUCACCAUUCUUCAAGAACUUGGGCUCCUUCUCGAGUUCCUUACCCGAACGCCUAUCAAUCUUGGUCAAUAUCUCAGCAAACUUGACAGCAAUGUGGGAAGUGUGGCAGUCGAGCACUGGUGCGUAUCCAUUUCCAAUCUGGCCAGGAUGGUUCAUGAUGAUGACCUGGGCAGUGAAGCUGGCAGCCCCCUUAGCCGGGUCAUCCUUGGAGUUUGAGGCAACGUAACCACGCUUAAGAUCCUUAACAGCAACAUUCUUAACAUUGAACCCAACAUUGUCACCAGGGAGUGCCUCUUGGAGAGCUUCGUGGUGCAUCUCUACGGACUUAACUUCAGUUGUCAAACCAGAAGGGCCAAAGGUCACAACCAUACCAGGCUUGAUCACACCAGUCUCUACACGGCCAACAGGGACAGUUCCAAUACCACCAAUCUUGUAAACGUCCUGAAGUGGAAGACGGAGGGGUUUGUCUGAUGGCCUCUUGGGCUCAUUAAUCUGGUCAGGGGUUGUAACCGACCUUCUUGAGGUAGGAAGACACUUCCUUCACGAUUUCAUCAUACCUAGCCUUGGAGUACUUGGGGGUGGUUGCAUCCAUCUGCGCGAUAGUAACAGAAUUAGCAUGACAUAUACUGCUUAAAAUAUAACAAUUAUUUGUCAAUCAAUAAAAGCAAACCUUGUUGCAGCAGCAAAUCAUUUGCUUGACACCAAGGGUGAAAGCAAGCAAUGCAUGUUCACGGGUCUGACCAUCUUUCGAGAUACCAGCUUCAAAACCACCAGUGGUGGAGUCGAUAAUAAGGACAGCACAGUCAGCCUGUGAGGUACCAGUGAUCAUGUUCUUGAUAAAGUCCCUGUGUCCAGGGGCAUCAAUCACAGUGCAGUAGUACUUAGUGGUCUCAAACUUCCAUAAAGCAAUAUCAAUGGUGAUACCACGCUCACGUUCAGCCUUAAGCUUGUCGAGCACCCAGGCAUACUUGAAUGACCUCUUGUUCAUUUCAGCAGCUUCCUUCUCGAACCUCUCAAUAACACGCUUGUCAAUACCACCAAGCUUGUAGAUCAAGUGACCAGUGGUAGUUGACUUUCCAGAGUCGACGUGACCAAUGACCACAAUGCUGAUGUGAAUCUUUUCCUUACCCAUCUUGAGGGACUAAAAGACUGUAAUUUAUACAACACAGAUAAACGCAUUUCAAAAGGCAUGUAAACAUUUCUAAAUUCAGCAUUAAGAACUGAAAAAUUAACCUUCCAUAGCUUAACCAAAUGAUUCUUCAAUAACAGGUGAUAUAAAACAAAAAUAAUGAACUAGCCUUUCCCAUUUACAACUAAUUCAAAACUAUGUUUUCUCUAUAUAUACAACUACUCAUUAUGUGGAAGACAAUAUUGAAGUAAAAUAUAAAUAAUUAACUUUCUAAAAUACUUUUUUACCCCUCCUUCUGAGCUCCCACCCUUUUUGCUCCCUUGGUAACUCAAACUCACAACCCUGGGUUGGAAGUGCGGGGUGCUUACCAUUUAUUUUUUGAGUAAGCAUUGCAUAUGUUCAUUACUUAGGGUUUCAAAAAUGUAAGCAGCUAUAGCUUUUACUCUUGGUGAAGAUCUCAAAAACUUUAUCUACAGAAAGGAUAUAAAAGUGAGCGCAAAAGGUAGCAAUUGCAGUGGUGAAAUUAGAGAAUACAACACAUUUUAGGACUAAAUUACUCUAUAGAAAAAGGAUUUAAUUGCUGGAACAAUGCAAAAAUUGAAUAAAAACAGAAUCAUGUCAAAGCAUUUUAAGAGUGAAAAUACCUACAGUUAACCUCAGCUCACUCGGCUUAAAUAAUACAAAUCUUUGAACAUUGACAGAUUAUGAAAAAUUGAUUACAAACAUUUACAGAUCUGUAUUUAUGGAUACACAUCUAUAUCAAUCGAAAGAUAGAAAUGGUCAUAUUCAAGCUCAACAUAGAGUUCGGUUGUAUAAGAAAUGGAUACAACUCAAACUAGAUCACAAUAAACCGUACACAUGUCUUCUGAAUGUUAGCUUCAAUAUGUAUGAUCUUACAGAAUGUUCAUCUAGCCGAUUAAAGAAAAUAUCUAUAAUAAUUGGUUUACAGAUCUACUGACAGAACCACCACAGAUCAAACAAAAAAUAAAUUGAUUACAAAAUAACAGUAACUGAUAAGAAAAGAUAGAGAAGUUGCAUAGAUGUAACCUUAGAGAGAAGAGGAAUUAGGUCACUUUGCGGCGGCUCAGAGAGAAGGGAAUCACAGAAAAAGUGAGGAAGUGCUAAUGUUGGAAGGAUAAUGGGCUUUUUAUAGUCUCCACGAAGAGAAUUAGGGUUCUCUAUGUGCUGUUCUUAGCUCUCUUUAUAUACGUAAAUGCCCCUCCCUCGCAUUUUUCUCUUUUUCAUUUUUAAAGGCAAAUUUUCAGAAAUAGACACUAAGAUACAUGGCGUAAAAAAGGCAAACUUUCAGAAAUAGCCACACUUUUAAGGUACUGGGCACGCACUAGCCACACUUUUUGAAAAUUAUUAUCUGUAGUCAAUGUAUCAACUGAUUGUAAUUAAUAUAAAAUACAAAUAUAGUAAAAUUCAACUGAUUGUAUUUAUAUCAAUUGUACGCAAUUAACUUUAUGUGAUAAAAUGUAAAUGUAAAUGACCAAUCAAAAUGGGAUAUACUAGAAUAGAGGCGCGCAUUACUGAAGAGCUCUAAAGGCUCACGUUACGUAGGUUUGACUAACGUACGCUUUGACCAUGGCUCGACGAAAAUGACCUGUGCUCACUGAUCUGAAGACACUGGUGAAUGAGGAGACUAGCUCCCGUAUGUUUACACCUGAAAUAGGGAUUACCCAGAUGCAAUCGACUGUCCAAUUAAGCCAAUUCAUCCUGGAGACUGGAAAAAUUACAACAAGGGCCAACGAAGACGACGCUGCAAGCUCCGACUAAAACUGCAAUUCCAAUUAGCAAAGCAGAAAAGGUGGAGCUUGAAGCGACGAAGGCGGCGAAAAAACUCUCAUUUUCUAUUGGUGAAACUGAAGGACCCCCUAAAAUGGUGGAUGUGGUACGUGGGAGUCGUAAUGUCCAAAAAGGUAUGUAAAUUAACUUCUACUCCCCUGAAAUUAGUAAUGGAAUUAAGGUUGUGAAAUUAAAUCCAGAUGAUGUCAUGGCUCAAUGUAGUAAAUGGGAACAUGCUUUAAUUAGAUAUGUAAUUAGGGGUAAUCCAUCAUUCAAGGAGAUGCUGAAUUUUGUAUGUGGUGUAUGGACUGAAGGUGUGAUGUCUCAACCUACGCUGACUACGUAGUUCUGGAGCACAAGGAUUGCUUCUAAGAAUCACACCCUCUACUAGUAGGUGAGAUCCCAUCCUUGAGCUCACUCGGUGCUAGUUUUUACUCCCAGUUGAAAGACUCAGAACUGAAUUCUCAACUGAACACUGGCUGAACUGAAUCUGACACUGUUUAUAUUAAUCAAAAGUUCUGACUGAGUUACGCUGAGAUCACUUGGUUCCUUAUUUGAUAGAAAAAUAUCAAAUCAUAGUAUCUGACUGAUGAUACAGAGCUUGAAUAAAUUACUUGAAUCGCUUCUGAGAUUAGGAUUAAAUGACUUGAAUACUAUUAGAACUGAGCUAAUUACAGGUCUGAGGCUAGAUUACUAGCGAUACAGAGAUUACAGAGAUAACUGAGAUUACCGAGCUUUAUUAAGCUGAUUACAGGUCUGAGGCUAGAUUACUAGCAAUACAAAGAUUAUAGAGAUAACUGAGUUACCGAGCUUUAUUAAGUUUCGCACUUGUCUAAGGAUACAGAGUUCUAUAGUUCACUGAGUUCUGAGAAUCAUGGCUCGAUUGUAAUUAUUGAGAAACUGACACGGGCUCUAGACAACAGCUCUAUUUUCGGGGAUAAAUAACCCCAGGACUCGACAACAUAAAAGUAAGACAUAAUCAUUCUUCAUCACAAAUCAUUCAUGCAUCGUCACGGUCAUCCAUUCAUUACUACCAUCAUUUAUUCAUCAUUACAAGCAUUUAUUCAUCAUUACAAUCAUUCAUGUAUUAUCACAAUCAUUAAAUAAUCACUUCAAGUAGUUGGGCAUCAUAACAUACUUUCCCUUCCAAGAUCCUUAGGACAUCACAUUAAGCAUUUAGGAAACAUAGACCUUUAUUCAUUAUCACAACCACCAAAGGGUCACUCCAAACCUUUAAGGAUCAUCAACAUCAGUUCACUAUCAUAUACUUGCCUAGGGAAGACAUGUUAUUAGAUUAUGCCCUAUUCAAUGAGCUCUUACAUCAAGUACUUCAUACUUAUAUCGGUCUUGUUAUGUAUUUGGAUAUCACUUGAUUUGGGGGAAACUUCAUACUAACACAUCACUAUUUACUUGCUAACCACUUGAAAUGUAUUAAAAGCUUAGGAUAUAUCAAAGAGCACAAAAUUGGGGAAUUUACAACCAUCAUAUCUCGAAUUGUUUACUAGGGUCUUUCAACACCCAUUAGAUACGACCGAUUUUACACCUACUUGGGGAUUUCAUGCUAUUUUGGCACGUUUCACUCACUAAGGUAUGCAUGAACUAGCUCACAAUUUAGGGUUUCCUAUUCAACAUACUAUAGUGACCCUUAUGCUUCAUCUGAGCUCUUUAUCAAACCUAUGGGGAACGUUCUUCACUUAUUCAACCAUUUCUACACCCAAAAGUCAUGAAAACAUCACAUGAAAAAACAACUUCAAGAGGGUCUAUCACAAAUAUCACAUGAAUUCCACAUACUAGGAUCACAACUCAUAAAUUUUAUAGGCAAAAAUAAAUCAAAACUCAUCAACACAUUAAACAUCCAUUUCAACUCAUACAAAUCAUUAACAACUCAUAAACAUAAAAAUCUUUUAGUUUUAAAAAGGGUUAUUGAGCUUCUUGGAUGAAAGGGACCCAAGAAUCAACAUAUACAUACCUUGGGGAAACUCUUUUUUGAAAAUCUUUGGAAGAAUUCUUGAUUUUUGCUCUUGAUUCUCUCUUAAUUUGCUUGAAGAAAGAAAAGGGGAUCUUGAUUUGGAAACCCUAAUUUUUUUUAUUUUUGGAGUAGAAGAAGAGAGAAAAUAAAAUGAGGACCUCAAACCUUGAGAGGGUGUUUAUAGUGGAUGGGAAAUAGUGGAAAAGACCAAAAUGCCAUUUAAAGAAAAAAAGUUGAAAACUACUGAUCGGGGUCUGUGACGGUCGAUCUGACGGUCCGUCAGAGGGACUGAUGGUCCACCAUGUUAUCCGUCACUUGAGUGCCAAAACUGGGACUUUCUGCCUCGACGUAAUAGUCAAAGUGAUGGUCCUUCAGGAAUUUGAUGGUCCACCAGAUCGUCUGUCACUCGAGGGUCAGGAAUGGGCCAUUCUAUUUUGACCUGAUGGACCCCUUGAUGGUCCGUCAACUUUUUGAUGGUCCACCACUUUGGUCGUCAUAUGAUGACCAAAAAUAGGGGUCACUGCCAUGGCUUGACGGGACAAUUUACGGUCCACAAGGACCUAACAGUCCACCAGGUCGAUCGUCAAACCUAGGCGAUUUCGAUACCGUUUAGUAAAACGGUCAUAAAUCUCUCUUCCGGUGUCGGAUUUUGAUAAAAUUGGUAUCGAUGAAAAGAUUAUUCAAUGCUAUACAUGAAAAUAAGUUGAAAUUAGAGAAAUACAACAUGAUUCAAAGUAUUUCAUACUUGGGAGGAUAUUUUCAAAACAUUUUGACUCGAAUUAUUGCUUUACCAAAUACGCUCUAAGGCUCAGACUGGAAGAGGAUUUUGCGGGGCAUUACAAAUGUAGGAGAUGUUUAGUGACAAUAAAAUUAGGGAUAACAAUUGGCUAAAAUUAUAUAGAUGGAUCUAUGUAUGCUAUUGAAUUUUGAUUGAGAUGAUAUGCCUUUAGGUGUUAACUAAGGGGUAGUGAGCAUGGUGUAGAUUUCCUGGUGGAUGGUAGAGAAGGAGUUAUUAGUUAAAAUGACUUGUGGUAUGCUUGAAGUAGGAAAAGAGUGUUGAUGGGGUUUCAUUAUGCUAGAAACGCAUAGGUAAUUAAUGAAAGCAUUAGGUUGUUAAGGAUUUUUAAUAUGGGCUUCCCUUUGUGAUUGUGAAAAUAAAAGGGUUUUUCCAGGAACUUUUAGGUCUUUUCCCACUCCUUCUAAAGCUUAACCCAUGUCAUUUAGGUUUUUCUAAGGAGGGGGGUAUAAAAGAUCCAAAACCCUAAUUCUAUCAGUUAUCAUAAUUUAACUCAGAGGAACCAAAGAGAGGCAGUUUUAUCUUCUAUCAAGAAACAACCAGGGUUCUUCAAGCAAGUCUAAUUUUCAAGAACAUUUCUUCAAGGCUUCUACUUCAGGUAUGUGGGAUAUUCAUCAGUAGGUCCUUUCCACCCAUUGAGUCCCUAGAACCCUCUAAACUUUCAAGUGUAAAACUCUUUUCUCUUUUAUAGGGUUCUAAGUUAACCAUGAAUUUUAUGAAUCUCCUCUCAAUUGUUCGAUUCUAAACCAUGAAUAGAUAUUUCCUCAUGAUGAUUAUGUUUCCAUAUAUUUGAUAAUGCAAAUGUCUAUAUCAUGACUAGUUUUUAAAAUAUGGGAUGUUAUUCAUUAUUUUCCCAUACCAUGGAUUUUUCAAUAUUUGCUAAGAUUAGUUUACAUUAGUUUAUGCUGCCAGGUUAUGAACACCCAAUACUUACAAAAAUCAUGCGUGUUACCAUUUUCAUGUUUCAAUCAUUCAUAUUAUUCUUGUAUCAUCAAAAUUUAGAAUAUCAUCAUAAUGAGCACUAAUUAAUAUCAGAUCAUAUGAAAUGAAUAACAAUACUAGUGUCAUUUAGUUGGGAGUAAAACUUAGCACUGAGUGAACACAGUGAUGGCGGCUCCCCCAUCAGUUAGACAUGAGUUGUUAGUAGCGGUCCCUAAAUUCCAGACCUAUGGCACCAUCGUAUAUUUUCCAGGGUCCCCCAUCAUUAGAGGCAUGGAAUCCUCAUCCUUUGAGACAUAUUAUUAGUGAAUCCACGCCAGCCAGUAUUGGUACCCUUAGCAAAGUACUAACAUCCAUCUAAUUAAGAUUACUAGUUGGAGCCCAGUUUCGUUCAAAUUGGGGUAUGUCGGUAGUAGUUAGCUCCCACAGUCUUAGUUUAGUAUUCAAGUUAUACCAGUUUAGUCUUUCAUGACUAAGUGUCCAGUCUAUCAAUUAUCCAGUUAAUCAGCUUUAUAGAUUAUUUCAGUACAUGCUCUACUUGAUCUUUCAUUCGAUUUAUAUGUCCCUGUAUUCAUGUUUAGUACAACUAUAUAUAUACACAUCAGAUAGUACUUAUCUUGUAUACUAGAAUAUUUAAAGUACUGACAACAUACUCUCUUUUGCACUAUAUUGAUAUCACAAUAUAGGUUUGGAUGCUCAAUUCCCAGAUCGCACGUAGUCCAUUCCUGUAUCACUCAACAAUAGUUGUGGUGAGUCCUCAUCCUACGAGGGAAAAUUAUCUAUAGUUACUUUCAUUACUUCUUUUAUUACUACCAGUCGGAGGUUGUUAGGGAUUUGUCCCAUUAACUCCCUAUUUUAGAGGCUUUCAGAUAGUCAGACUUGAUUUUUGUUUUUAUUAGAUGUUCAGAUAUAUUGAGUAAUUGUUUAUGUAUUAUACCUUAUUAUUUUGCCCCAAUUUAACUUUCGCAUAUCAUAUUAUGUUACUAUUAUCUUCCAUGCUCACAGAAGGUAUGUAAUACCUCACAUUUUUAGGCUAGAAUUUGAACCAUCGAUCUUACGUGUAUUGACCCAAAACUAAUAAUUUCCUUGACCAAAUAAGUGUCAUGAUGAAUGACCUUGUCUAUAAAGUGUUUUCGAUGUGAAUCAUGGUCAUAUGAAACACUUAAAACAAAGUCGAGUUGAGACCACUUGUAUCAAUUGAGUUUUAGUAUCCAAUUCUACAAGAGUCAACUUUAAACGAGUGUAUUUCCUAGUAUAUAUCAAAUAAAAGAUCUUCGGGUCUUCUUUCCAAUACAUCUGAUCUCACCUUAAUUCGAUAUCGGAGUAGGAAGUUAUGCUCAUUUACUUUGGAGAGUCUGUCUGUCAACAAGGUAAUGACUUGAGUGAUAAGUUAUCAACAAAGUGAUGAUUUAUCAACCUUGUUGUCAGCCUUAAUCAAAAUCCAGCUAGAGGGUGAUGACUAAGUUGAUAAACCAUCAACUAGUUGAUAAGCCAUCAACUAGUUGAUAAGCUAUCAACUAAGUCAUUAACCUUAAAUAGAAAGUGUCCAAGACCAGCUAGAGGUUGAUGAAUAAGUUGAUAAGCCAUCAACUAGUUGAAAACCUAUUAACUAAGUCAUCAAAUGAAAAUUCCUAUGAUUUUUUAAAGUUUUCUUAGGGGUAUUUUGGUAUUUUCCUCACCUCAAACCCUCUCCCCAUAACUUAAAUAACCUUAUAAACGCAUGUAUUCAUGAGUUUGUUAGUUUUAAUGCUUAUUUUCCUCUCCACCCUCAAGAGAAAAGAAAUUAGGGUUUCUUGCUAAAGUUCAACUUUUAAGGAUCCAAAUUUAAGUUUUUCUUCAAGAAAUCAAGAAACUCAGGUAUGUGGGGUUUUUGAACAAGGUUAAUUCUUUCAUCCUUGUGCCUAAAGUGUAUGGUUUUAGGAUUUAAUUUAUUUAUUUUGAAUUAGGGUUCAUACAUUAAUAGCCAUACUUUUGAAUUAUAAAACUACCAUGAGAAUAAAAGCCUUAAUUACAUCAAGCAUUGCAUAUAUUCAUGUUUUGACUCAUAAGAUUCACAUUGUGAUUUUAAAUUUCAUUAUUUUGACUAGGAUUGUUGAAAGAUUUCAAGGUGAUUAGAGAGCAUAAAGUUUUGUUAUGAGUUUCUAUGAAUUGAAGCAUAAAUUGUAAGUUCUAAAUAAAAGUAUUGAGUUUACAAGAAGAUUAUGCUCUUAAGCUUCAUUUAUAAGUUUUAUGACACAAUUUUAAGCAAGGAUUGAUCUUUUGAUCCUAAGAUAAGAUAUGAAAUCCACAACUGUUCAUCUUGAUUAUGAUUUAAAAGUGAAAAGAAGCAUAACUAGUUUUUAUUCCAUAAACCCUUAUGCUAUUUUAAGGUGGAUUUCUUAAAGUAUGAGCAUAUAAAUAUUUUGGGAGUAGUAUUUAGCACCGAGAAAAGAAUGUGGAUGAGUGUAUUCAAAAUUCCUAGAUACUACAAACCUUCGUAGGUUAAGCUUUUUUUCAAUAUGGAUGAAGUUCAGUGAUCACUUAAGUUAAUGUUCUAUUGCAAUGGCAAGGAUAGGACAACUCUCCCUAAGUGGGUAAGGCGUUGGACUCUAUUGUAGCUCACAUGGUUUAUGUCGGUUAGACGAAUCUCACACAAAGAAAUAAAAGUAAAGAUUUUAGAAACAAAGUAUAAUGACUCACUAAGUUUAUCUAAUUAUGCUUUAUUAUUCAUGUUUUAUGAUAUUUCAGCUUCAGUUUUUAUUCAUGAUCAAGGUGAAUCCUUUUACACUCAGCAUGUAUGAUUCAAAAGUAUGUUCAGCUUGAGUUUUACUUAUUGCAUUCACCCUGACAUACUCAGUACAUUCCAAUGUACUGACCACAUAUAUGUUUUGUGGCUACAUCCCUUCAUGAUGUAGGUACCUGUUGUAGCCCAUACUUCAUAAUAAACAAUUAGCUUCCAUCCAGCUGGUGAUGAGUUCUUUUGAUUCGAGGACUCAAGUCAACUACAGUUCCAGUAUCAUAUGUUUUAUUCAGUUGUAUUGAUUAGGGGUAGUUGGGGGUCGUAUCCCGACUGCCUAUAGUCAGUAUUAGUAGAGGAUUCAUAGACAGUCAAUCAGAAUUGAUGUAUUUAGUUUCAGCUUUCUUUUGUAUAAUCCAGUGAUGUAAAUGUUUUAAGAUAGUUUCGUUUUGAACAAGUUCAGCUAAUGACAUCUCUUUCACUUAUUAUUUCCCAUUUUAUGCAUUUUAUUUCAUUGCUCACAAGUUAUGCCAGUAUCAUGAGUUAGCUUAGGAUCACUUAUUGUUCAAAGCACCGUAUGACAUCCAUAGGGUAGUAUCAAAGAGUUACAAGGUACCAAACCAUAGGUUUGCUUGUGGUCACUUGUGACUCUAAGUACUGUGUUACGACUAGGGGGUAAUCUCGAGUCAUGACAUUAGACUAUGUUUGUCUUAUCUAUAUUCAUUUCUAUCUAUGGUUGUCUUUCAUUGUUUAUCUUUAUUGUGCUCUGGAUGUUAGGCUAACAGUGCGAUCUCCAGCUCAUGAUGGGCUAAAGAUACCCAUCACGAUUAGGCCCAGGAUCAGGUCGUGACAAUAUAUCUCCUCAUUUUACUCAUAAAAUGGUCAAACUCUCAUAACCUUCAUACAUACACGCUAAGGGAUAUACAACUACCCUCUAGCCAUGACCUACAGGGACAAUUAUCGUCUAUGUAUUAAACCCCCAAAUACAGGUGUCUACCAACCUUGUUCUAUCAAAAACUCAUGAGAACAUUUUAAAUACCGAACAUUUAAUAUUUAGAAAGUAAGGUUGGUCAAAAUCAUAUGACAAUCAUAAAUUAUUUGCUAAGACCACACUAAACAACAUGCACUAAUAAGCCAUACUACAAAGUAGUUAACAUGGACAUAUAGUACAAAUUAAACUGAACUACAAUACCAUCACCUACCUCAAACCAAGCUUGCACAACUUCUUUAUGCUAGAGCUUUGCCCUUCCAUGCAAUUUCUGCUUGCUCAUGAUCUAGAACAUGCAUAUAAAUACAUAAAUAAAGAAAUGGACUAAUAUGUCGGGAUUUAUAACUCACGCUCAACUCCUAAGGUCAAAUUCAUGAUCAUUUUUGUACCCUCUAGGACUUUUCCAUCCUAAUUCACUUAAAACUAUCAAUUCAUGGAUAAGCUAUUGAACUAAAGGAAUACAAGGGUAAAUUAAAUGUUAAUAAUCAAAAUUCAUCAACAUAUUCCUUAAUCUUUCCCGUUGCACCAAUAAUUAACAAAAAUCUUCCCUAAAACCCUCUCUGAACUCCAUGAAUAAACAAUUUUAAGGCUUAAUAAUUAAAUGCGAGUUAACAUGGAUGAACUCCUUACCUUAAUGAAGCCAAACAAAGAAAUUCUAGCGUGUUUCAUCCUAAAUCGCCCCUUUUUUGGGUCACGACCCAAACCAGGGCCUAACCAUGAUGUGUAUCUCAAGUCCGUUGAGGAUCAGAGACUACCCUAUUUACCCUAGCCAACCAGAACAUAAUGUAACUAAUAGCAGAUAAAUUUUGAAUAUAUAGCAAGAUAGAGCUGAGUUCCAAACAUAUAACAAGAUAGAGCUGAGUUCCAAACAUAUAACAAGAUAGAGCUGAGUUCCAAACAUAUAACAAGAUAGAACUGAGUUCCAAACAUUUAACAAGAUAGUUAAACAACUAACUCAGAAAGAAAUUUAAGAACUUUAACAUCCAUCCCAAUACACAGUAAUCUAUGAAGCCUCUAAUAACUAAGAACAAACUAAAUUAGGACAUACCCCCGACCAUAGCCAAGAUGAGUCCAAAAGGAAUGGUCUAAAACAUGAAUGAAACAAGAUUAUGAAAUAAGGGUCUUUUAAAGAAUGGAAGAUCACCACUUCAAAGCUGGCUCACAAUAUAUCCAAGAAUAACCUAUCACUGUGCAGGGAAAGCAAAAGUUUCUCUGUUCCCUACAUCACAUGGGGAUACAACAUUCGGAGACGGUUAACUGGGUGGACGCUAGAAUGUAACUCAAGAUAAGGAUAAAAUAAUGCUAAUUCUAUAUCCAGUCUAGACUUUAUGUACAUGCUCACAUACAUGCAUACCUACAUAUAUGUAUAUAUAUAUAAGAUGUUGGGAUAGGGAACAAGGUUUAGCAUGUGAUUUAAAACCAUUAACCUAGACUGUGUAGCUCUAACCAUCCUAAGGGCACCAAUGAGCUCUAUAGGUUUAGCUCCCCCUAUUGAAAGGGUCCUAGUGCGUAUUAGACAUAUGAACCAAGAAAAUCCAAGGAUGAUCCAGGUAGUGCCAAAAUAUAUAUAAGUGUGAACUAAUACACACAGUCGUAAAUACCCCCAUGUCGGCAAAUAUGGUUUCUAAUAUCCGUUCCCCCGAGACCUCCACCUACCAUGAUGAGCUACACAACCCCCAUUAAGCCCAAUUAAACAAGUUUCACAUAAACCAUCCAUUUAACCAAGGAAUUAUCUGUUAAGGCAUUAACCACAGGUAUCAUCAUACCAUUACACUUGCAAAUUUACAAUUAUGCUAUUCUAAUUCUAUAAACUUGAGGAAAUGGCACAACCCCCUUGUUCACUAAAUCAAGUUUAGGAUAAAAAACAUGGACAAUAAGGCCUUCAAAACCCUUUUAUCCAUUUAACCAUUUAUGUAACAUAAUAGUUUAGAUAAGUAAGCUAAAUCAUGGGAUUAACCAUAUUUCAAAUCCAAUUAGCAAGUGAGUUGAGAGGACACAAUUUUCAAAAUGAAAUUCCUAACCAAAAUCAUCAUGUUGGGGGAAUACCUCGACCCCCAUCCCAUUCACCAUACCCAUGCACCCCAAGAGGUUUCAAAAUAUAUACAUAAAACAUGAACUUUUGCAUUAAACCCAUUGGAGUGCAAAUCAAGUAACAAUCUUUCCAAAGCCCUCAACCCAAAUCAACCCAUGCCUAAAAAUAUUAGGAAUUAUAGAGGAAAAUCAACCUUUGAGCCCUAGAUGAUCAACCUAGAAAAACCCUAGCCUUGUUCUUUCUUUGAGAAAUUUGAGAGAAGAGAGCUGUAUUUUGUUGUGUUAUGGAUGAUAAUGAGGUCCCCAAAUGAUUUUAAGGUUGUGGAUUAUAAUUGUGGAAAGAGAAAAAUGUCCAAAGUGCUAUUAAAUUGUAGAAGAAAACAUAUUGCCAAUCAUCAUAGGUAACCUUACGACUCGAAGGUCACCUAACAACUCGUCACCACUACUUAUGGUCUAGACAGUGAUUCAGGGCACCUUUAUUGUUUAGGUUAUGAGUACCACCCUACGACUCGUGACCAGAUAUUACAACUCAUUGAAUCCCACUUGAGAUCAGGACAGAAACAUUGAGCACCUAUAUUGGUAUGGUUAUGAGUCCCUCACCACUACUUGUAACCAUACUUUAUGGAUCAUGAGGUCCAAAUCAUAACCUCAAUAGAAAUAUAGGAAAACCUGGGACACUUAAUGGCCAGGAUACGAUUGACACAUUAAGACUCGUGAGGAGUCUUCAUGACUCUUCACCUAGGUUGUGACCCGGGCAGUGAGCUCAAAGCUCAGAAUUUUUAGAGGCAAAAUCUAGGGUGUUACAUUUUUUCCCAAAAUGAGUCUUAAAAAAUAAACUAUUUUGGAAGUAUUUUAAUAAAUUAGAAAUUUUCACCGCUACAGCGGUACCAACUGCUACAACAGUCAUUGACAGCCGCUAUAGCGGGAAUUCCUCUUCUAUGAUGCUUGUCGCUAUAGCAGUGUGCUAACUGGUAUAGUGGACUUGAUGGAGCAUAAUGUCCUUAUUCGAUAAAAAUUCUCACUUUUUACAACACACCUUAAACUUGGGAGGUUUUGAACAAUGUCCUUUAUGCUAAGACCGAUUUUGAGAGUUUUACUUAUUCAAAUUUGAUCCCAUAAAUUUUUACGGGUUUCUUAUCAUCUCAGCUAAAUAGAAAUCAAGAAAAAUACAACUAUCACACUCCAAAUCAUUUUUAAAUUUUUCUAGGCCACACCUCACUUUGAAAUCAAUCAAAACUAGCCUAGUCUAAAAUUUGUAACUUCUAAACCAAAAAGAAUUUGGAUAUAAAAUUUUAAAUAUAGGACUUAUACGUAAUGAAGAAUAAGUUCAUUACAACUGCUAAACCUGAGAAGGCAAAAUAAGAUGAUCCAAACCACCUGAUCAGUUUGAAGGACUUCCAAACUAGUUAAUUAGGUUGAAGGUGAUCUUAAAUCAAUCGAUUUAGUUGAUAAGAAAAAUGAAGAAGAACUUGAGCCAGCUAUUUAUAUUGAGGUAAAAACUCAUGAGAAGGUCCUUGAAAUAAUAGAUCAAGUUUUCAAAAAUUUAGUUGACGUUCUUGAAUAAGAUAUCCCUAAAAAAGUUAUCCUAGAAUAAGAGAUUGAUGUGGUAUCUAUUAUUGUAGAUCUCAAUGUUGAGAAUCCUAGUGAGUGUGAAGAUAUUAAUUUGGUGGUUGACAUAUUUUAAAACAAUUUAGUUUUUUGUUUCUUGAUGAUAGUUUUGGAUGUAAGUAGACAAGAUAAUUUCUUUUAUUUUUGAUGGUGUGUGAUGGAGGAUUACAAAUAAUUUAUUUGACUGUCUUUAUAUAUUUUUGUAGUGGCUUGGUUGUUGCUACUGUGCUAAGGUUGAAUGAAUUUACUUAUGCUUACUAUUUUAUAUUGAGUGUAGUGAUUAUGACUUGCUUCCUUGAUGCUAAAAUGUUAUGGUUGGGUCAUUGGAACCUUUAUCGGCUAUUAACAAGAUUAAGUUUUAUUAUCUACUACACCACUUGUUAAUAAUCGACUGAUAGUAUAUGAUGAUUGGAAUCAAUUAACAAUCAAAAGAUUUGAACUUAACUCCAAUAAAAAUGUUAUAGAUACACAAAUAUUUUUGUAUAUAUAAUUCAAAAUAAAUCAUAUGUCCAAAAUGAAAAAAAUCAAAUGUACUAUAGGUCAAUUACAUAUUUUCAAGUAGCAAUCAAUACUAGUAAACCACAUAUCAGCACCUCCAAUCAAUUAACUUUUUCUCCAGCAACAAUCAACCUUUGUUUAGGUUGAUCCAUCUUGAUCUCUGUUCUCUCGAUAGACCUUUCUUAUGAUCCCUUUCCUCUUUAGAAUUUAUGAGCAAUGUCCUAAUCAAAUAUCUAUUCUCUUUAGAUUUUAUUAGAUUUUUCUUUAAUUCGAACUUUGUUAAGGUUAAGCCUUGAAAGUGUUGGUAGAGCAGUAAAAUUAUGAAGAACACAAUUAGGGAGACACCGGAGUACGGUUAUUCUAUCCUACUUGCUUAUUCCUACAUGAUUUAUACUCUAAAUCCUAGUUCCAUAAAUAUCAUUACCAUUGAUAAAGAAAGGGAGGUUUGUACAUUAUUUUUAGAUUAUGAAGCUUUAAUUUGAGGAUACUCCUAGAUAAGAAAGAUCACACCGAUGACACAUUCUUACAUAGAAAGUAUAAUGGUGUGUUGUUGAUUUUCAUCAUAAAAUAUAUGAAGAAGCACAUAUAUCCAACUACAUUUUGUAUGGACAAGAAGAAUGAUACAUCAUUGGAAUUGUUCUUUAGGAAGGUGAAGUUGAUGGUAGUCGAUAAAAGUCAAUAAUUUGAGUUAUACAUUAUAUUGAUGGUCACAAGAGCAUAGCUAAUUGAAUCAUCAAAGUUUAUGAGCAUGUUCAUUAUGGUCUAUGCAUGGGACACCUUGGUGAAAACAUCUAAAAGAGUUUCCAUUAUGGAGAUUAUCUUUCAUGUCAACUAUAAUAGUGCCAAAGCAUAUAGUCUCAAGAAGUUUAAUGGUCAUUUUCAAUACUUCAAGAAUAAAUGUCCCACAAUUGUUCCAUGUCUUGAGGAAUUGAAUUUACAACAUAAAGCAGGACCCAUUUUUCAACCAACAGAUAUGAUGUGAUAAUCACAAACAUCUUUUAGUUACUUAAUUCUAUGUUGAAGAAUGAGAGUGAGUACUCCAUGUCUUAAAUAUUUGAUUUCACUGCCAGAAAUUUACAUAGAAAUUUAGGUAGGGAUGUAAACAAAUUGCCAAUUCAAAUACCAUGUUUGACUGAAUGGCUGAAAAACACAUAAGGUAAAGAUGAUAUAAGGGGAUUCCUUACAUGUCAAUGAUAUAAAUGGAGAUGCCGAUGAGUUUAUAGUAAUUGGUUGUGGCCUGACUAUCAAAGUUAAUUUACUUAACAAGACAUGUUUUUGUAGAGAAUAUAAUGGUGAAAAUACCUCUGUUCUCAUGUGAUGGUAGCCCUUAGAUUGAAUUGUAACUUGUUUAUCUCAUAUGAGAUAAUUUAUCGUGAAAGGUGUGAACAUUAAGACCAACUUUACGAAAUUUAAAUCAUGUUGCCUCAUAAAGUAUACACAAGUGUAUGCGGUCAUUAAGCUAAUAAAGUGACUCAGAGAGCGAGAUAUCAAACCCACAGAGACUUAAAAUAUAACUAGUUCAAAUUAUUUGCUUAUGCUAUCAAUUCUCAAUAUUUGGAUAAUUGUUGAUUAUGCUACUAAUUAUACCAAAGAAAGAAAGUAAUAGAAAAAUAAACAUUGCAGAGGUUGUUCCUAGAAAAGUUGAGCCCUAGGGAUAUGAUACUUGCAUAAUUUUGUCAUAUCUUUAUGUUGUUGGUUAACUUAUUUAAGAUACAUACCAAAUUGUUGACUCAAGGAAUUGAUACUAUGGUCGUGGGCUCUUGAAUCUUCUAAUCGCCUAUCCUGAUUAGUCUUCUGAUUACAUUGUUGAGUGAGGACAGUCAAACUAAUUUGAAUACAUUUAUUUAUUUAUCUUCUUGCAUAUGAGCCAAGUAGGGAAAACUAGGUACAUUUCUAUUACAAACACAAAUCUAUCUGUGUACGCAUCAUACUCUCCUUAACUCAGAUUCAAUUCCUAAUCUCCGUCUCUUGAUUUCCUUUAGAAUUUAUUCUUUUAUCCUAUUACUUGGUAAGCAACAGAAUAGUAAGUACAAAAUAAGAGAAUAAAACAUAAUUAGAAUUUGUAAUAACAAUUUAUAUAAAGAUGAUGAUAUUCUCAAAUGGCCAUAACCCUAGAAAGAGAGAUCUUUUUUAUUCAAUAUCAAAUUACAAAGUUAUAUUGUAUGAAUGUACAAGAAAUAAAGAAGCAAUCCUAGAUAAUAUGGCUUUUGAUCUUGCUUUGUACCUUCACAAUACUCUCCAAACAACAGUAACUUUGCCCUAAAAAAUGUAUAAGGAUGGGAUAUUUAUAAUAUUUUAAAACAUCUAAGAACCCCAUCUAUGUUGGACUACACAAAGGGGAUUUUUUCCUUGUUACUAAUGGCUCAUUGUGCAAGGUGUUGUAACUUGCCUAGGAGCUCAUUCUAUAAGGUCUAUUUGCUUUCCCUAGAUUUUAAUUUUAGGGUAUAAAUUUUAGAAGGAGUAUAUGUUUUAUCCCUAUUCGUGUUAGAACUCGCUCCGCGACUCUCUGGCUUUGAAUUGGAGGAUUUUUUUAAGAAAUCCUUCCAUUUUUGCUCCACUUUAAUUCCUUUUUAGCUCUUUUCUCCUAAACUGUACAAGCACCAUAUAUAAGUGAUAGAAAAUAAAAUAAAGCAUAAUUCACUAAUAACAAGCUAAAUUAUCCUACAAAUAAAGCAUAAAUAAAGGCAAAAAUUAGUGAAAUAUAAUGUAUCUCAGAUCCACAUCACCCAUACUUUAACCGUUGUUCAUCUUCAGACAUCUACUAAAUACUUUUAGCUUAAACUCCACUUCAAUAGGCAACAUCAAUAGGUUAAUUUUACCUAGAGUUACCAAUACAUGUUAAACAUGGAAGUAACUCUUAUAAAAAGGCAUUCGAACAAUUCAAACAAGAUAAUUCUAUCAAGAUGAUGUAACUCUAGAACCGACUCUUCACUCAAUACACAAGGCAAAUAAUCAUAUACUCAAGAAAAGAAGUCAAAUAGAUCACCUAAGUUUACAUCACUUAUGUGAGCUCACAUUUCAAGAGAGAUGUCUCCUCACAUAUUCACAAUAUAUCACAAACUUUGGGACAUAUAAUGAAACAAUAACACCCACUCUUACAAAAUAAUUCACAUGAAUACAAGAUAUACCAUAUGAUUGCCCUUAGUGUAAUACUCCAUUGACAAAAACGAUACAACUAUGAGAUCACAAGGUCUUUUAAAGGUUUUAUUAUUGGCUAAGGGGCCAAUCAGAAAUAUUUGGUUAAAAUAAUGACUACUCUCCCUAAGCAUUUUAAGACUUCUACUUUAUGCUUUUAUGCCCUUUUCCUUAUGUAUCCAAAUUUCCACUCCUUUCUUUUUAUAUUUCAUUCCUUUUCUUUAAGAACUCACCUAUUUUUCAUACAUUAUUAGUAAGGAGUAACAUUUUCUCAACUUUAUUUUUUUCAAACUUUUUAUCUUGUUCACCUUACUACAACAAUGACUAUCCUUUUAUAUAUUAGGCACCUUUUUACUUUUCUUCUUUUCUUUCCACACUAAUUCUCAUUUAUUCACCAUUAUUUUUCCUUUAGUUUUAAGUCUUAGCUUAAAAGUGCACCAAAAUCUUUUUUGAUUAAAUUAAUGCAACAUUGAUCGAAAAAGGAAAAGAGCUAAGUACCUAAGGGUUUGGCAUAGUGGUCAAUAAGGUGGAUUGAGAGCCUGAGGUCUCAGGUUAGAUCCCAAUAAAGACAAAAAAACUAGGUGGUUCUUUCCAUUUCUUUUAGCCUUGGUGCAUAGAGUUACUUGAUAUUUGUUGUUGGUGUACGAAAGUUAACCCAAAGACAACAGUUAUCAAAGAAAAAAAGAAGCGCUAAUUAAGGAGCUAUCUAAGAAAUAGGCUAAAAAUGCUCAAAAAGGCUUACUAUAGAUAAUUAAAGGAUAGAUAAAAAUAUAGCCACAAAUUAGGUUAACAAGAAAAAUCCUAAACCAUAUCCUACAAUCAACACGUGGUUUCACUUUUUCCACACACCGAGCAAGUUUUAGAUAUUUACAUGAAACAUGAAAUAUACAAUUCUCACCAUACAAUGUCAAGUAAAUUAUAAAAUUGACUCACUAUCAGCUCUCUACCUAACGAUGAAAUCCAAUUCAAUGAAAUUUUCUUAAUCCCCUUUUAUCCAUUUAGAGUCAUUGUUAGAACCUAUUGAUGUGAGGCUUAAAACUAUGUUAUUUCACUAUAAUUCGUCUUGCAUUUGUUCUCUUUUUAGUGUCAUCUUGAGCUUAAAUAAUGUGACUUACACUUGUGCUUGGUGUUUUGUUUAUGUAGGAGUGUAUUGGGGUAUUUAAAUUUAAACAAGAAGAAAAAGAGCAUGAAAGAAUCAAAAGUAACCAAGAAAGAAUCAACGUUGCAAAACAUCACAAUCGAGUAGAAAAUUGCUAAGUGGGGUGAAGGAUCAUGCCACUGCCUUGCUUUGGGAUAGUGGAACAAUUUUCACACUAUUUCUAAAGAUUCUUGCAGCCUAGAUCGCACCACCCCUUUGAUUUAGGUGAGUGGCACCAAUUUUAUCAACAAUCUAGAGUUUGAAUUAUUCUUCGUGCCACUGCUAAACUUUUGAGCAGUGACACAAGCGGGUAUCUAUCCUAACCCAAUUGGGAUUAGUUUUUAAAGUUCUAAGGGUUCCUAAUUCUAUAAAUACCUCCUUUCCACAUCUUUUAUGAUUAUCAAUUGACUUGGGGAAGCCAAAGGUUAAGGAAUAGUUCAAGAAGAAGGUCUCAUUUAUUUAUUUUAUUUUAUUUUCAAUUUCUACCUUGUUAAUUAAUGAAAUGAUCUCUUCUUGCAAAGAGAUUCAUGAGAAGUUAAACUUCUAAUUUCUAGGAUUGUGAUUGAACAUGUGAGUUGAAGCUUGAAUAUCAUAUAAUCUAUUUUAAUUUCCAUAUAUGGAGUUAUUUAUUUCUUCUUGAUUUCAGUUAUUUAUUUUCUUGAUCACUUUACAAAUAAUGUCUAGGGCUUGUUUGUUGGACUUAAAAAAGGAAAUGCCAAGUGUAAAAUGAGAAAAUAGGGCUAGUUCAUAAACCUUUGAGGGAAAUAGAAUUGAUUUGUCACUGAGGAUUGAAAUAUACCCUAUGACCUAGCUUAGUUGAUAUAGAUGGUAUUUUCAUGCAGUUCACUAUUAAUCAAUGAUGAUGGAAAUAUAGACUUUAAGGAUAGCCUAGUAGGCUUAGAGUUGUUUGAAAAAAGCUCAAUACGGCAAAAAUGAUUUUUUACCUAGUAACUCCAGAAAUUAAUUAGGUGUAUGAUGAGAUAGCUCAACUGGAUUGCAUAUUUUUCCUCAACUGGAUCAUAAUACAUAAAUUCUCCAGCUUACCUACAAUUGCAAUUUUUAACUUAUUAAAACUCAAACCCUCUCAAUUACUUGUCACUUAUUGAAUAAUUAAAAUAAGAAUUCAAAGUAGAACUUUGAUUUGUCAAAUAUCUAUGGGUACGAUAACUAGACUUACAUCCUUUGUUACUUGCACCGUAAUGUACACCUGCGUGUGCAAUAGCGUAACAAGUUUUUAUUGAUGUUGCUAAGGAUUUGAUUUGAGAUUAAUACUAUUUUGAGUUUUUAUUGAAUUAUUCAGAUUUCACUUUUUUGUUAUUUUUGUUUAUUCUAGUGUAUAUGUUAGUUUAUGCUAAACACCCAGAGUAAAGGCAAUUCCUUAAUUCUAAUUGACCAUGAGCUUGAACAUACUAUUAGACGAUUGAGAAAGAUAGAUGAUAAUAUAAUCAAUCCUAAUGCUCCAAAUGAUAUGGAGGAUUGGGAUAUAGUCUAAUCUCUCCCACACCAAUGUUUCAAUGUUAAAUUUUGUGAGGCCAAAUCAACAAUAAGCCUCUAAAUCUAGAUAUCAUUAGAAAUUUAAGCUUAAAGAGGGAAUGGUGUGGCUAGUUCAGAACACUUGUCAAUAUGAGAGUAAAUCAUAUAAAGAACCACAUAAGAACCUACAAGAGUUUACUAAGUUGAGUGACAAAUUCCACUACCAAAAUAUUUAAGAUUAAUAUGUAUGUUUACACUAUUUCAUUUCUAACUGAUUGAGAAAGCCAAGCAAUGGUUGCAGAAUGAAACGACAAAAUUUAUCAUAUUUAGGGAUGCAUUGUUUGAAGAGUUUCUAAACAGGUUCUUCUCACCUAAAAGAAUAAAAGAACUCAGAGAUUAGAUUAUGAGUUUACAUAGAAAAAUGCCAAAUCCAUUCCCCCAGAUUGUAAGAGAUACAUGAAAUAUUUGAGAGAUUACCUAUACUACUAGCAUCCCAAGGAGAUUAUUGGGCAUAAUUUUAUUGAAGGAUUGAGGCCAGACUCUAAGUCUUGGUUAGAUAUUACAACUUAAUCAAAAAUUUUAUUUAAGAGUUAUGAAGAAAUAGAGGCAUUGCUUGAUCUUUUGGGAGAUACAUAAUUACUAAAAAUCUUAAUGGAGAGGCGAAUGAUGAUUUUAAAAGCAAAACCCUAGAUACAACCAUGGCAUCGACGUAGGGCUAUUCAAUGUCUGUGACUAGCCAGUUUCCCUCUAUUGAUUCCACUUCUCAAUACCAUCCUCUAAAUUCUCCAUCUAAAUAAAUUUCUAAACCUAAUGUAGCUCUAAUUGGCAACUAUGCGACCAUAGCCAAUCCUUCUGCCAAGCUAAAGAAUUAAGAGCCUGAUGUAGUGCCUAUCCGCCUAGAAGAAUCAAGAGCCUGAUGUAGUGCCUAUCCCUAUUAAAAAUGUGUAUUUCAAGAAUGAGAUUCUGAUAGUUACAUGGACUGAAUGAGCAGUGUAUCAAAUGAAUAUCAUUGAGAAUCAACAAUCUACUAUCGUGGGUAAAUUCUCAUAUGGUGUGCCUAAGUUGUCAGAACUAAGAGAACAAAUUCCAUUAUAAAGUGGCAUAAAAGGUAAUUGUAAGGUUAAAUUCAUCCAUAAUAGGCAUAUUCUAAUUAGACUAGAAUUAAUUGAGGAUAUCAUCAACAUCAUGUCUAAAAGUGCUUAUUAUAUUACUUCAAAAGAUGGUUAGUCAUAUCAAAUGCACCCUCUGAUAUAUGAUUCCAACUUUAAGCCAGAUGAGGAACCACAUAAGUGAUAGCAUGGAUUUCAUUCCCUGAUCUUCUCCCAAUAUUUUUCGUCACAGAGUCAUUAUUUUCAUUAGCUUAUGCUGUUAGUAGACCCCUGCAUUUAGAUAUAGAAAUAAUCAAUAAAAAUUAGGCAAUUUUUGAAAGGGUAAAAAUUCAAUUAGAUUUAUUGUAUUAAAGACCACAACAUAUGAUGAUGGAAAUAGAGAAUGAACAUACCAAAGAACUUAGGAGCAAUAAAGUGAAAAUUAAAUAUGAUAUGAUUCCUAACUAUUACAAGAAGUGAAAACUACAGAGACAUGAAGAGGAUGAGUGUAGAGUACUCUAUACAGAGCUUAAAGUAGCAAGGGAACUAACAGGAGUAAUCACAAGUGCAACAUCACAUUGGCUGGAGAUUUGGUAGAGGCCAUAGGAGAUGGAAUCCAACUAAUAUAAGAUUUUUCAAGAAUAAAGAUGUUGAAUAUGUUCUAAGUAAUAGUUUUGAAAGUGCUGAAUUUUCUAGGAAUGUAUUACUACGAUUAAUCCCUUUAAUGUGUUGAAUGAGGGAUCACGGGAAAAGGGCUAAAAGAUAAAGAAAGUGAUAUGAAAAAGAAAUAGGAAAUUCAUAAAAAAUACUUUUGAGUCAGUGGAGAAUAGUUUAGAAACACAAAAAAAAAUCAAAAAGAUAAUACACCAAAGAAGCAACAAAAUAUCAAAGAUAACAGUCCACAAAAAGGGGAAAAAAGUUCAAAAUUAGUUGACAAAGUUGAAAAAGAACCUAAAUUUUCUAGAGAAAUUGUUACAUCAGCUAAGCAUCAAAUAAUUAACUAAUCAGCCACAACACCAUCAAUGCAGUUUCACUGGCAGUUUUGGUAUAUGAUUGCCAAGGAAAAGAGCAACUUGUAGAUUUAUGUCAUUUACAAAACUUAUCAUAUGAUAAUGAUAUGGUGGAAAUAGAGAAUACAUUACUUGAUUUAGGGUAGAAGAGCAUAUUAAAGAUUAAAUCAGUGCCCGUACAAAAGAGCCCCACAAGUACUUUACAUGAUAUAGUAACUUAUCAUUCUGGGAUACUCCUGCAAUAACAAAUGAAUCAUAGGGCAAUUUUAUAAAAGAUGAGAAGGUGAAAAUGCUAAGUAAAUAGAGUCCAUUAGUUACAAGUAGAUAUAUCUCCAAAAUAAGGCAAAAGAGUAUCAAAGAAGGGAAGAAAUAAAAUACAAUACAAUUACCUAAGAAGGUAAUCUCAAAAAGAAGUGUGGUGACUAAUAAGAUUGUUAAAUGAUGAUGAAAGCUAUAUUUUGGAAUAUUAGGUCUAUAAAUACUCAACAGGACUUUAAUAGACUCUAAAUGCUUAAUAGGCUUCACAAUUCUUUUUAAUAGAUCUUAUGGAGCCUUUUCAGCAAGUUGGGUAGAUUCAAAUAUUUAGAUGAAAGUUGAACAUGCAUAGUGUUGGACCCAAUAUUUUUGGAAAAUAUUGGUUCUUUCUAAAAGAUUAUGUAGAAAUGGAGAUUAUAAGUGACUCAAAUCAGCAAAUAUCUAUUAAAAUCCUGAUUCUAAAGGACCAAAAUCACAUGUUGAUCUCGAUGGUUAAUGCUAAGUGUGCAUAAUCUGAUAGAAUCUCUUUAUGGAAUAACAUCCAUAAUCUGGAUAACACAAAUAUACAAUGGCUAAUUAGAGGAGAUUUUAAUACUUUGUUGAAUCAAGAAGACAAAAUAGGGGGUCUUCCAGUUACACUUCAAAAGAUGAAAGAUUUUGUAACGCCUCGAGUCUAUACCCCAGAUUAUAUACAUUGCUUACGAUCCCGAAUGACCACAAGCUAACCCAUGACUGAUAUCUAUUGUGAGCACUAAAAUAUAAUACUGUAAUAAAUGCAGAAUAAUAGCUGAAGUGUCAUAAGGUUUGAAAUAACUGAAAUACUGAUGAAGAUAUUGAGCUGUAAUAAUAAUCUGUAAAACUGAAUACUAUCUGAACAAUAGUCUGAAAAGCCUCUUACUGAAUCUGUCUAAAAGUGGAGUUGAUGGGAUAAUCCCCCAACUAACUCCAUUUACUGAAAAUCUGAAAUAAAAUAAUAUUCCUAAAUGAUGAGGAAUCACUGCUAAUCUACUGCUGCUGGCUGAAUAUGAAUCUAUCUAUACACGGUUGGGAACCUGAGCAUCCAAACCUAUGAUAUCAGACAUCAUAACACAAAGAAAGAGUAUGAAUCAGUAUGUGGAAUGUACUGAUAUGCUAGAUGAGGUGAGGCUGAAUUCAAUGGUUUAUAUUCAUGAACAAUAACUGACUGAAUAAUAUAUAGUAACUGAACAUUAGAGUACAUGGAUAAUCUAUAACUGUUGUAAAUAAUGAGUAUGCAAUACUGUGCAUAUACAUGAAUAUUGUAACUGAGCUUUUCCGAAGCUAAGUACUGAGUUCAGAAAUUGAGUAACUGAUAAUCUGUGAUUACUGAUACUGAUUGCCUGUAUCUGACAGUACUGAUUCUAUAGAACUGAACUGAGUUCAAUUCUAAAGACCGAGACUAAAACUAUGGGAGGUAAUCAUAUUACCGAUAUGCCCCAAAUAAGAUAAGAUAAUUGAGUUGAGGUCUAAUCUAUAACCCUAAUUGGAAGGGUGUCAGUACUGUGCCAUGGGUAAAGACAACUGAAGAGAUACCCUCAUCUGGCAGGUACUCUAAUGAGAAUGGUGGGACCCUCAACUGACAGGUUAAAACACCUCAUCAACCCUUAACUGGCAGGUUUGAUGUCUCAACCUAUGCUGGCUACGUAGUUCUGGAAUGUAAGGAUUGCUUCUAAGGAUCACACACUUUACUGGAAGGUGAGCCCCCAUCCUUGAGUUCACUCGAUUCUAAAUCCUACUCCAACUGAAAGACACUAAAUUGAUUAUACUAAAAUAAACUGGACUGAUACUGAGAUUAUUGAGUUUUCCUGAGUUCUAUAACUGACUGAGUUCUAUAACCGACUAAGAGUAGUACUGAUCGUGACAUGAUUGAGGCUAUUUUGUAACUGACACUGGCUCUAGGUAAAAAACUAAAUUGUCGGGUAUUAAAUACCCCCAAGACUCUAUGGCAUGUAAAGUAAAGCAUAACAUAAUCUUGAAUAACAUAACAUUGCUCACUUAUUCAUAAUUCAUCCAUAAAGACAUUUUAUCAAACAUUUGUAAGGUAUCUACUUAUACAUGAAUGGAGAAUACAUGAUAUCAUAUUAUAAUGACACUAUUUCAUUCAUCUAGGCAUUUUAUCAAACACAUGUGGAGCAUGGUUGAGUUAUACAAUAAUCAACACAUAUAGUUAUCAUGGCUAUAUCAAUCAACUUGUAAAUUGAAGAGCUUAUCAUGAAGUUCUUGUAAUUCAACACAUAUAAUGAUUAAUUACAUGAAAGCUUGUAAUUUAAUCAUGGACUAAGACCCAACAAUAACAUGAACAUGAAUUCAAUUCAAUUCAGACAUGGAAGUUCAUAAUUCAACAAUCUUGUAGUUUGAAAAUGGAUUCGUGGACUCUAUGGGUGAAAGGAACCCAUAGAUGAACACUUAACAAACUUGGAAUAUUUGUUCUUGAAGGUUCUUGGAGAAAUUUUUAAGAUUAACCUUGAUUUCUUGGAACUAGGGUUUAUUUUUCUAAGAGAGAAUGCUUUUAAUUUGGGGGAAAAUUGAUUAAGAAUCGCUUUUAAAAUGUUUUUAGGGAUUAAAUACCAUACCUGGAUGUGUUAAAAUCAUGAAAAAGGACCAAUUUAACCCUAGAUGAAACUUUUAAUUUUUGUCAAAAUUUUCUGAAAUAGGCACUCACGCCGUGUCACUGGAAAUUGCCAACUGGGAACUGAAGGCUUAGUAUGACGUGGUAAAAUCAUGGAGUCACACUGGAAAUUGACAAUUGCCAUUUUGGCUGGUGGUGCAAUGCGGAAUAAUUGUGGUCCCUUACUAAAAUUAAACAAUUGGAAACUGGAAGCCCUCUGCGACGCGGUACUGGCUUGAAUGAUGGUGUUUAAUGACUGAAACUUAAAAUAGUCAUAACUUCUUACCCGAUUAUUGAAUUUAGGCGAAUUUUAUAUCGUUGGAAAGUUAAUUGAAUUUCCUACGCAAUGACAGGAUCUAAACUAAAAAAUACUGAGUAUUUCAGAAAUUUUAUGUUAGAUAACUCUAGACUGAGAGUUAAUUUAGGUUAGGGAAAUACAGGGUAUAACAAUAUCUCCCCCUUGGGAACAUUCAUCCCCGAGUGAGACUAAUUAAGCUAAGAAAUGCUGAUAGACUAAGUUUACACACUGAACAUGAACAACUGAAGCAUGACUACAUGACUUUACUACUGAUACACUUAGUUCUUAUACUGAACAUGCAUAUCUAAUGCAUUGAAUACAUGACUGAAGUUACUGAUAAGCUGAGUUUUCAUACUGAACAUGCAUAUCUGAUGCAUGAGUACAUGACUGAACUGAUUCAUGAAUGCAUGACUAAAUAUGCAACGGUAAUGAAUACCAAGUUUAUAAUUGUAAUUGGAUAUGGAACUAGGUAAAGAUAAGAAAGAUUGUUACCUUAAGUUUGAUCUAAGUUUGCGGAGAAGAUGUGAGAGUACUUGGUCCGCAUAUCUGCUUGUACUUCCUAAGUAGCUCCCUCAACCGACUGAUUUCUUCAAAUAACUUUGACCAAGGAAACUUCUUUAUUCCUCAGUCUGCGAAUCUGGUGAUUGAGGAUUUGGACUGGAACCUCUUUGAAAGAAAGAUCGAUCUGAAUAUUUAUGUCCUCUAAAGGAACUAUGACUACUGGGUCACCAAUGCAUUUCUUUUGCAAGGAGACAUGAAAUACUGGAUGUACUGAAGGUAGAUAUAAAGGCAACUCAAGAUCAUAAGCUACCUUUAUGAAAUGAUUGAGAAUUCUAUAAGGACCGAUAUAUCGGGGAUUAGGCUUUCCCUUUUUGCCGAACCUCUUCACACCUUUCAUGGGAGAGAUUUUCAAGAAUACAAAAUAAUUGAUCUCAAACUCAUGAUCUUUUCUCCUCAUAUCUACAUACGAUUUCUAUUGGAUUUGGGAUACCUAAGCCUUUCUCUGAUCAACUGAACCUUCUCUAAGGCAUCAAACACUAAGUCAGGCCCUACUACUGCGACCUCACCUACCUCAAACCAAUCGAUUGGAGAUAUGCAUCUCCUACCAUAGAGAUCUUUAAAUGAAGCCAUUUGAAUACUAGAACGAUAUUUUUUAUUGUUUGCGAACUCGAUCAAAGUCAAGUGGUCAUCCCAACUAUCCCUAAAAUCAAUAACACAUGCUCUCAACAUAUCUUCUAGAGUCUGAAUAGUCCUUUCUGCUUGACCAUCUAUCUGAGGGUGGAAGGCUGUACUGAGAUAAACUUGGGUAUCAAGAACCUUUUAGAAUGCUUUCCAAAAAUGAGAGGUAAACUAGGUACCUCUAUCUGAGAUGAUAGACACUGGGACUCUGUAUAACUUGACCAACUCUCUGAUAUAGAAUUUGACAUAGUCUUCAACUGAAUAGGAGGUAUGAACUAGCACGAAAUAAGCUGAUUUGGUCAUUCUAUCUAUGACAACCCAUAUAGAAUCAUGCUGACGACGAGUAUGAGGCAAACCCAUCACAAAGUCCAUGCUCACUUCUUCCUAUUUCUAUGUGCGAAUACUGAACUCCUGUAUGGACCCACUAGGCUUGUGGUUCUCAAUCUUAGCUUGCUAACAUGUAGAGCACUUAGCUACAAACUCUGCAAUAUAUCUUUUCAUCCCACUGCACCAAUAGAUCUCCCACAAGUCACGGUGCAUCUUAGUAACCCCUAGAUGAAUAGAGUAACGCGCACCAUGGGCUUCUGCAAGAAUUCAUUACCUCAAGUCGUCUGCUUUUGGCACACAUAGGUGACCCUGUCAAUGUAAUACAACAUCUCCCCAUUGGGAGAAAACCUCUAUUUUUUUAAUCUUUGACUGACUUUUUCAACCUCACUAGACUGGGAUCUCUAUCCUAUUUUUGCUUUACCUUAGAAACUAGAGGUAAUUCUGAACUGUUCUGAACCCACACACUACCUUCUGCUAAAUCGACUAAGCGGACACCUAGUCGGGUAGGCUGAUGAACUUCCUAAGCUAACUUCUUCUUACCAUCAUCAACAUGAGAAUUGCUACUCAUAGACAGUCUACUGAGAGCACCAGCCACUAUAUUGUCCUUACUUAGAUGAUAAAGAACACUCAUGUCAUAGUCUUUCAGUAACUAUAACCAUUUUGUCUUAUGAAAAUUCAAAUCUCUCUGAGAAAAAACAUACUAAAGUCUUUUGUGAUCGGUGAACACAUCAACAUGUACUAUAUACAAGUAAUGCCUCCAAAUCUUUAAGGCAAAGACUAUAGCUACUAAAUCCAUAUCAUAGGCAUGGUAAUUAUUCUCAUAAGGUUUAAGCUGUUUGGAGGCAUAGGCUAUGACCUUACCUCUCUGCAUGGGAACACAACCCAAACAUACUCUAGAUGCAUCAUAAUAUGCAACAAACCCAUCAGAACAAUAUAGUAGAGUCAACAAUAGGUCCGAGGUGAGUUGAGUCUUCAACUCCUGAAAACUCUUCUCUCAUGAAUCUAACCACUGAAACUGUACUUUCUUCUAAGUCAAUCUUGACAUGGGGGAUGUAAUAGACUAAAAUCCUUCAACAAACUGAUGAUAAUAACCAGUUUAACCUAAGAAACUCCUGAUAUCUGAUGGAGAGAUAGGUCUAGGUCAGUUUCUCACUGCCUCAAUCUUUUGAAGAACAAUUCCAAUGCCAUCAAUGGAAACAAUAUAAUCAAGGAAUGCUACUGACCUUAGCCAAAAUUUGCACUUACUGAAUUUGGCAAAUAACUAAUGAUUUUUGUGAGUCUGAAGUAUGAUUCUUAGGUGAUUGGCAUGAUCAUUCUCGCUACGGGAAUAGACAAAAAUGUCAUUGAUAAAGACUAUGACAAACAUAUCUAAGUACUACUUGAACACUUGGUUCAUCAAGUCCAUGAAAGUUGUUAAGGCAUUAGUAAGACCAAAAGACACGACUAGAAACUCAAAGUGACCAUACCAGGUUUGAAAAUUUAUUUUUAGAAUGUCACAUUUUUUGACUCUGAGCUUAUGAUAGCCUGAUUUGAGGUCUACCUUAGAAAAUUAAAUAACACCCUGAAGUUGGUCAAACAAGUCAUCGAUUCUGGGAAGUAGGUACUUAUUCUUGACUAUGACUUUGUUUAAAUGAUGGUAGUCUAUAGACAUUCUGAGAGAACUGUCUUUCUUAUGCAUGAAUAAAACUAGUGCGCCCCACAGAGAAACACUAGGUCUGAUGAAUCUCUUAUCUAGGAGAUUCUUUAACUUUUCUUUUAACUCUUUGAGUUCUUCUAGUGCCAUUCUGUAUGGUAGAGUAGAUAUGGGCUGAGUAUUUGGAAGAAGGUCUAUUUUAAAGUCUAUUUCCCUAACGGGAGAAACUUUAAGAAGAUCUUCAGGAAAUAUAUCUGAGAAUUUAUUUACUACUGGAACUGACUCAAGACUAGGAGUUUCUGAACUAGAGUCCUUGACUCGCACAAGAUGAUAGACAUAUCCCUUGGAUAUUAUUUUUCUCGCUCUAAUCUAUGAAGUUAACUGACCCUUAAGUGUUGUAGUACUACCCCUCCAUUCAAGGACUGGUUCAUUUGAAAACUGAAAAUGGAUUCUAUUUCUACAGUCAACUGAGGCAUAGCGUGAAUGGAGCUAAUCCAUUCCGAUAAUGACAUCAAAAUCUGUCAUCUCUAAUUCUAUUAAGAUUGCUGAAGUGAAUUUCUAAAAUAUCAUAAUCAAACAGUUCCUGUAUACCCAUCGGGCUAUGAUAGACUAACCUACUAGGGUAGAUACUGAGAAUGGUUCUGUUAAGAUUUUUGGUUUGACUUUGAAGUCGAAUGCUAUGUAAGAAGUUACAAAAGAUAGAAAAUCUCUUGGAUUUAAUAAGGCAUAAAUAUAUAAAUGGAAGAUCUAUAAUGUACUAGUGACCAUAUCAGAAGAAUUUUCCUGAUCUUGUCUGGACUGAAGUGCAUAGAUUCUGUUUGAGUGUUGCCUAUUGGUGGCACAAGAAGUGGCAACCUGCUGCUUCGGGUGAUCGUACUGAGCUGUGGGAUGAUUAUAGUGAUCCUGGGAACUUGACUGAGGACAAUCUCUAACUCUGUGGCCUGGCUUACCACAUCUGAAACAAACAUCACUGCCAGCUCUGCAGACACCUUAAUGGUUCUUGCCACAAGUCUUACAAAGAGGAUUUGUUCGAGCACUGCUGACUCUAUCUUGAGACUUAGAGCGUGGCGCCCUAUCUUUGUUACCAUUUCUGAACUUAAGGACUGAAGCACUGGCUGAGGAAAGAGCUGGAACUAAAGACUUUAGAUAAAACUAGGAAUGGUUACCGCCCUCUGACUUAGGCUAAUUAAAAUUGAAGCUACCUAUUCUAGCUCUCUUGUUAUGCCUCCCUCUCUCUAUUCUUAGCCUCUUCUAUCUGCUGAGCAUGGACUAUGGGGAUGGCUAUGUCCAUAUCCUUAAUUAACAUCAUUUUUUUGUACUUCUUAACCACACGACCUGAUACUCCAGAUAUGAACUUGCUCAUUCUGGACCUACUAUCGGCCACUUCAUGGGGAGCAUAUCUAGCUAACUGAGUAAACUUAAGGGAAUACUCUUUCACACUUAUACUGCCUUGCCUAAGGUUGAUGAACUCUAACACUUUGGCCUCUCUUAGCUUUAAGGGAAAAAAUAUAUCUAGGAAGGCAGUAGCAAACUCUUCCCACUCUAUGGGCUCUGCAUCUGUGCCUCUGUCUACCUUCUACUGCUUAAACCAUGUAUGAGACAUAUCCUAUAGCUGAUAAGCGGCUAACUCAUCACUCUCACUGGAAGUCACUCCCAUGAUAUCUGUGACUUUUUAAACCUGAUCGAGGAACUCCUGUGGAUUAUUUUUUGACUUAGAUCUUGAGAAUAGGAAAGGAUUCAUUCGGGUAAAGUCCCAAAUCCUGGAUGCAGCAGUAUUGGCCACUGGGUUGGCUGGAACAACAGCUGGCCGUUCAUUCUAAGCUUCUACUGAAUUGGCUAGAGUAGUGAAGUAGCUCUGAAUUUUGAAUGGGAAACAUGUUCAUCCAGGGGAUCUACCUAUAUGGGUUGGGGUAAUGACUGAUUUCGGGUUCUUCUUUUGUUAUUCUUUUUGGGAGGUAUGUUCUAUAAAUGAAAGGAAGAAACAUAUUAGACUGAGAGUUUAACUUAAUCUCAUGCUCACUCGCAUGACAUGAAUAAUGGAAGAAGGAAAAUUGUUCCUAAAAUAUCUCAUAGCCUCCUAUCCAUAAGUGCAGCAUGCUAUACAUAUAUGCACAAGACUCUAUGUGAUAUGGCUUUUAGACUUCCUAGGACACUAUUGAACCUUAGGCUCUGAUACCAAGUUUGUAAUGCCCCAAGUCUGUACCCUGAUGCUACAUGGUGCUUACAUCCCUGAAAGACCAUAAGCUAACCUAUGACUGAUAUCUACUGUGAGCACUGAAAUAUGAUACUGUAAUAAAUGCAAAAUAAUAGGCUGAAAUGCCAUAAAGUUCAAAACAUCUACAAUACUAAUGAAAAUAUCAAACUUUAAUAAUAAUCUUUAAAAUGGAAUAUUAACUAAAAACUAGUUUGAAAAGCCUCUAACUAAAUCUAUCUGAAAGUGGAGUUGAUGGGACAAUCACCCAACUAACUCCAUAAACUGAACUACUAUAUCUAUUGAAAAUUUGAAAUAAAAAAAUAUCCCCGAAUGAUGAGGACUCACCGCAUAUCUAUUACUGUUGGCUGAAUCUGAAUAUAUCUAUGCGCGGUCAGGAACUUGAGUGUUCGAACCUAUGAUAUGAGACAUCGUAGUGCAAAAAAAGAGUAUAUGUCAGUACGUUGAAUGUACUGGUAUGCUAGAUAAGGUGAGGCUAAAUGCAAGGGUUUAUAUGUAUAAAUAAUAACUGACUGAAUGAUAUAGAGUAACUGAACAUGAGAGUAUAUGGAUAAUCUAUAACUGCUGUAAAUACUGAGUAUGCAAUACUGUGCAUAUACAUGAAUAUUGUCACUGAGCUUUUCUGAAGCUAAGUACUGAGUUCAAAUACUGAAUAACUGAUAAUCUGUGAUUACUGAUACUAAUUGACUGUAUCUGAGAGUCCUGAUUUUGUAAAACUUAACUGAGUUCUAUUCUGAAGACUAAGAUCGAAACUGUGGGAGGUAAUAAUCUAAUCGACAUAUCCCAAAUAAGAUAAGAUAACUGAGUUGGGGUCCAAUCUGUAAUCCCAAUUAGAAAGGUGUCAGCACCGUGCCACGGGUAAGGACAACUAAAAAGGUACCCUUAUCUAGCAGGUACUCUAAUGAGAACAGUGGAACCCUCAACAGAGAGAUUAAAACACCUCAUCAACCCUCAAAUGACAGGUUUAAUGUCUCAACCUACGCUGGCUACGUAGUUUUGGAAUGCAAGGAUUGCAUCUAAGUAUCACAUCCUCUAUUGGCAAGUGAUCCCCCAUCCUUAGGUUAACUCAGUGCUGAAUCCUAUUCCCAACUGAAAGACACUGAACUAAUUAUACUUAACUGAACUGGACUAAUACUGAGAUUACUGAAUUUUUUUGAGUUUUGUAACUGACUGAUAGUAGUACUGAUCGUGACAUGACUAAGACUAUUCUAUAACUAACACUGGCUUUAGGUAAACAACUAAAUUGUCAGGUAUUAAAUACCCCCAAAACUCGAUGGCAUGAAAAGUAAAGCAUAGUAUAAUCUUGAAUAACAUAACAUUGCUCACUUGUUCAUAAUUCAUCCAUAGAGAUAUUUUAUCAAACACUUGUAAGGCAUCUACUUAUACAUGAAUGGGGAAUAUAUGCUAUCAUAUUAUAAUGACACUAUUCAUUCACCUAGGCCUUUUAUCAAACAUAUGGGGAGCAUGCUUGAGUUAAGGCAAAUUCAACAGCCUUUUGUUCAAUUUCUCGUAGAGUAAAAUUCUCAAUAGUACGGGUAAAGGGAAUGGACCCCUGGCCUUGGAUGUCCAUAUAAAGAACAAGAAGAGCAUAAAUACCCUCUUUAACUUCUAUUUUAAUGGACUGAACAUCUUUUAUAAGGAAUCGGAGAAAUAUACGAUAAUUUUUCUCAAAAAUCCCCAACGAAAAAAUACAGAUUAUUCCUUUUUUUAUAUCGAAUCGAUCAUAACCACUACCUACAUUUCAGGAAAUUGUGCAGCAUAAAUAAAAGCUAAUAAAGAGACCCGCACUUUCGUAGAAAGACAUCACGAUUCCUUGUGGAAAAAAUACAAUAAUCAACACAUAUAGUUAUUAUGGGUACAUCAAUCAACUUGUAAAUUGAAGGUUUUAUCAUGAAGAUCAUGUAAUUAACCACAUGUAAUGAUUAAUUACAUGAAAGCUUGUAAUUUAAUCAUGAACUAAGACCCAACAAUAACAUGAACAUGAAUUCAAUUCAAUUCAAACAUGAAAAUUCAUAAUUCAACAAUCUUGUAGUUUGAAAAUGGAUUUGUGAACUCUAUGGGUGAAAGAAACCCAUAGAUGAACACCUAACAUACCUUGAAAUAUUUGUUCUUGAAGGUUCUUGGAGAAAUGUUUAAGAUUGACCUUGAUUGCUUAGAGUGAAGAUUUAUUUUCUUGAGAGAGAAUACUUUUAAUUUGAGGGAAAAUUGAUUACGUAUGGCUUUUAAAAUAUUUUUAGGGAUUAAAUACCAUACCUGGACGUGUUAAAAUCAUGGGAAAAGACCAAUUUAACUCUAGACAAAACUUUUAAUUUCCAUCAAAACUUUCUGAAAUAGGCACCUAGCGCGAUGCGGCGCUAUCACGCCGUGUCACUGGAAAUUGCAAACUGGGAACUGAAGGCUUAGCGUGACGCGGUGAAAUCGCGGAGUCACACUAGAAAUUGACAAUUGCUAUUUUGGCUGGUGGCGUGAUAUGGGGUAAUCGCGGUCCCUUACUGGAAUUGGACAAUUAGGAACUGGAAGCCUUCCGCGAUGUGGUACUGGCCUGAAUGACGGUGUGUAACAAUUGAAACUUAAAAUAGCCAUAACUUCUUACCCAAUUAUGAAAUUUUGAUGAAUUUUAUAUUGUUUGAAAGCUAAUUGAAUUUCCUACGCAAUGGCAGGCUCUAAACUAAAAAUAUUAAGUAUUUAAAUUUUUUUUAUAUUAGAUAAUACGUGGACUGAUAGUUAAUUUAGGCUAGGAAAAUACGGGGUAUUACAGAUUUUGCCUUUUGUGUUAACUCCUAUAAGCUUGAUUAUAUCUCUUUCAAGGGUAGUCCUUUCACCUGGUGGAAUGGCAGGGAUGGAAAUGAUUGCAUAUUUAAAAGAUUGGACAGAAUGCUCUUUAGUGAAGAUUUUCAAAAUUGGUAGAUUGGACAAAAUGCUCUCUAAUGCAGAUUUUCAAAAUUGGUUUUCCUAGAUUUGAGGUGGAACACUUGCCUAGAAUAGGGCCAGACCAUGCUCCACUUUUACUUUCCAUACAAAAAAGUUCACAAUUAUCUGUUAAACCUUUUAAAUUCCUACAUUUCUAGGUAAAGGAUACUUCUUUUAAAGAAGUUGUGAGACAACAUUGGAGGACAGAGAAAGUGGCAAUAGUUUCUGAGUUUUCAAGCAUAAAAUGAAAAAAGUGAAAAAAACACUGAGUAAAUGGAGUAGAGACAUGUAUGGUGACAUUUUUUAGCAGUUUGUAAUUUGGGAAGAGAUAAUACAGAGUAAAUAGAAUAUUUUUUAAGAGCAUCCUACUUCUCAAAAUAGAAGUUUUCUUCAGCAAGCACAAGUAGAGUUUAAAAGAUAUCUUCAUUUGGAGGAGCAAUUCUAAGGAGAAAUUCUAAAGGUUAUGAAUUUCCUAAAUAGAGUAGGAAUCUAAAUCAUCUUGCAUAUGUAGAUGAUAUAAUAAUCUUUGCCUCUAUAGAUAGAUCAUCUUUGAAUUUAGUUAUAAAGGUACUAAAAGACUACUAGAAAAUAUCUGGACAACUGAUAAAUGAGAAAAAAUUUUAUUCUAUAUGUACAAGAAAGUGGCAGGCUCAUUGAUGAAUGGAGUGGGAAGCAUAACAGGUUUUGCUUAAGGACAGUUUUCUAUUAAUUAUUUAGGUUGUCCAAUCACACAUGCAAGAAAAAUUAGCGAAUACUAUAAUAAUCUUAUAAGAAGGUGAAAAGCAAACUUCAUAAUUGAAAAGGUAAAAUCCUCUCUUUGGCAAAAAAUUUAUUCUAAUCAGUAGUGUACUCUAAAGCAUACCUCGGUAUUUGUUAUUAGCUGUGGUGCCUCCUAAUUUCAUUAUUCAUGAGCUUCAUAAAAUUCUUAAUAAACUUUUAUGGAGCAUAAAAGAGGAAGGUAAAAGUAAAAAGUGACUGGCAUGGGAAAAGUUAUGCUUCCCGAAGAAGAGAAAGGUGUUGGAUUUAAGAACCUUUUUGAUAUAUCUAAGGCUAUGUUUGAAAAAUUAUGGUCGUCAUUUAGAAUCUCCAUAUCUUUGUGGAUCGAUUUUAUAUGGAAUAAGUAUUAUAAGAAACUUAUCCCAAUAGUAGUGCAAAGGAAGGGUGGAUAUCAAGUUUGGAAGAAGAUAUUGGAGGCUAAGGAUGUUCUUGAACAAGAAAUCUGGUGGGUGCCAACUAUGGGUUCUUCUAAUACAUUGUUUGAUAAUUGGUCUAGAUUAGGUGCACUGUAUUUUGUGGUUGAUUAUAAUUUCAUUUGAAAUAAAGAAACAGGUGACAUUGAUACACUAAUAACAUGAGAUAGGUGGGACAUUUAGAAAAUGCAGGGACUGUUACCUUCUGACAUCAUUCAACAUAUCAUGGACAACAUUCUUAUCUGUAAGAAUGUAUCACCAUGGAACUUGCCAUGGUUGAUGCCAACAAAAAAUGAAAAAUUCACAGUCUCUAGUGCCUACCAGUUGGUUAGACAUAGAAGAGAAGUUGAGGAUCGGUGGAGGUACAUAUGGUGUAAAGAGGUACCAUAUGAGAUUAAUUUCUUUUUAUGAAGGCUAUGGAAAUUUAAAAUUCCUGUAGAUUACAUCUUAGAUGUGGCAUUAAUUUGGUUUCAAGAUGUAAGUGUUGUGUAGAUACACACCUAGAAAUUGCACACCACUUGUUUAUUAAUAGAAAAUUUUUCUUCUAUAGUAUGGAAUUAUUAUGCAGUGAGUGUAGGAGUUAAAGGUCUCUUCUAUAGUGUGGAAUUAUUAUGCAGUGAGUGUAGGAGUUAAAGGUCCAUUUAUACAAUGUCACCAAACCUUUUCGAAAUUCUAGAAAACAAUUUUUCCUAACAAACUAAAGCCUACUACUCAGGCUGUAACAGGUUUGAUAUGCUUGCAGUUAUGGAAAAGGAGAAAUAGAAUUAACCAUGGAGGCUCAGUGUCAAUGCACAGAGUAAUACAUGAAAUAGAUGAAAAUCUUCAUUACCUAACACUAGUCAGAUUUCCAUGGUUAAGGGAACUUCCUAAUAGAUGGCCUCUCUUUGUAGAAUUUUUGCAGAACUAUAGGGUGCAAAUAAAGACCGUGGCAGUGAAAUGAAAGAAGCCUGCACAAGGAUGGUAUAAAUAUAAUACAGAUGGUGCUUCUAAAGAGAAUCUUGAUGCAAGUUCAAUUGCCUUCUGUAUUAGAAAUAAUGAGGGUGACUUUGUAUAUGCCUUAUGUAGACAACUUUAUGACAGUACAAGCAUUUAUGUUGAAGCAUUAGCUAUGAAGGAAGGGUGUAUUUACUGUGUGUAGAAACAUCUACUGCCCCUAGUUCUUAAACUUGACUCAUUAGCUUUGGAUAGAAUAGUGAAAGGGGAAUUGGAGAUUCCAUGGAGUUUAAGUGGGGUUAUAAUGAGAAUUGUUUAACUGAUAAAGUCGGGACAAAUUACAUUUCAACACACAUAAAGAGAAGGCAAUUCACUGGCAGGUUUUUUUAACUAAUUGGUGUUUUAGUUUUGUAGGUAUAAAAAGCUUUGAUACAUUCAUGGAGUUACUAAAAAGAUCAAAAUCAAUAACAAUCCAAGAUAAGCAACAAAUGACAUAGCUUAGGAUAAGAAAAUUGAGGCAACAUGUAACAAAUUAAAGAGAAAAACUAAAGGUACCCAAAAUACUUCCAAGGGCAGUAAUGUAAACAAAUAGGGAAGGCUUAUGGUGUCACCCCCUUGAUUUGGGCAAGUGGAAUUUCAUCUACAUUCUGAAGUUUGAGUUAUUCUCCAAGCCACUACUUAGCUAUUGGGCAAUGGCAUGAGCGAGGGCCUAUCCUAACCUGAUUGGGAUUGGUUUUUAACGUUUUAAGGAUUUAUAAACUCUACUAAUACCCCUUCCCACAGUUUUUUAUGAUUAACAUUUGAUUUGGAGAAGUCAAAGGCUUGGGCAAAGCACAAGAAAAAGGUUUGGUUUAUUUUUUUUAUUUUUCUUACUUCUACCUUGUAAAUUCAUGAAAUAUCUUCUUCAAAAGAGAUUCAUGAGUAGCUAAACCUUUUAAUUUCUAGGGUUGUGGUUAAACAUGAGAGUUGAAGCUUGAAUAUUAUAUUAUCUAUUACAAUUUCUAUAUAUUUAGUUAUUUAUUUCUACUUGAUUUCAUUUAUUUAUUUGCUUAAUCACCUUGUGAAUACUAUAGAAGGCUAGUUUAUUAGACUUAAAAAGGGAACGAUAAGUGUAAAAAAAGUAAUUAGGGCUAACUCAUAAACCAUGUAGGAAAACGGAACUGAUUCAUCACCCAGGAUAGAAAUAUACCUUGUGACCUAGCUUAAUUGAUACAAACGAUAUCUUUAUGCACUUCACUAUUAACAGAAGAUCAUAAAAAUAUAAGUUCUAGAGAUAGUCGAGUAGGCUUAGAUUUGUUGAAAAACACUCAAUAUAUCUAAAAGUAACCUGCAACUAGUAACUCCAAAAAUCAAAUUAGGCAUAUGGUUGGAUAGCUCAACUGGAUUGUCAAAAUACCAUAAUCCUGAAUCUUUUUCCUCAACUAAAUCACAACACAUGAAUUCUCUAGCUUAUUUAUAAUUGUUAUUUUUAUUCCAUAUUAAAACUCAAACACUCUUGAUUAUUUACCACCUAGUAAAUAGUUAAAACAAGAAUCCAAAGUAGUACUUCAAUUUGUAAUGUUCCUAUAGGUAUGAUAUCUGAACUUACAUUCUUUAUUAUUUAUAUGACCAUGCACACUUGAAAGUGUGAAAGGACACAACACCUGCAUGUCUCAAAUUAUAUAUAUCUUGGAUUCCUAUGCACAAUGUUUUUGAGAGCUAUCGAACAUAGUCUUAACACAUAUAGAUUAAACAUCUAACUUAUUUAAGACAUUUGGAUUACUCCUUUUCUUUACUUUUGAAAACUAAAAGCAUACUAUGACAUAUGAUUCAACGGACUCCCUCGAAAAAGAACUAAAAAUAAAAACCACGGAUCGUACUAACAAAACUAACUACCAGUAGGAUACGUGAAACAAUUAAUUAAAUAGAAUCACAAAAGCUACCAAGCGAUGUCCCUACACCACACUUAAAAUUGUAUAUUGUCAUUAGUGAAUAUUAUAAUUAAUAUAAGGGUAAAGAAAACUCCCAAGAUAGACAAAAUCAAAAGUGCACCCAUUGAGUCCCAAAGUUAUCCUUAGUAUAAUUCCUUCCUCGAAGCCUAGGGUUCAUGAAUACUGUGAAUUCCUUGAUAAUUAAGUUCAUUGUUAUUAUUGAGAUAUAAAAUCAUGCUUCUCCAUGAAUUUUAGUAUCAUUGCAUAUGUAUAGUUAAAAUUCCUCAUUAUAUUAUGUAAUCUAUGAUUGUCAGACUUGAAUUAUAAAGUUUCUUAUUUGUUCAGUUUUAUGGUAAUUGGCAUAGUAGUUGCAUUCUUUAGUGAUGACUGGUUAUGAACACCUAAUGACCUAGGAUUUCAUGCAUAUAUUUUUUUAAAUAUUCAAUCCUUCAGUUUCAUAAUUUGAGUGAUUUCAUACAAAACACUUAUUUUUUGUCUUCAAAACAUUAAUAUUAUUGAGCAUUCUAGUUAUAAAUUAUUAUUCAGUUGGGAGUAGUACUUUGCUCCGAGCAGAUGUAAAGAUGAAAACUCACCCGUUAGUUAGGAUGAAACUUUAGUUGAAGUUCCUAAGUCUUAAAACUAUGGAGCCAUCAUAGGUUCUAAAGGAGUCACAAUCUAAUAGCUCAGAUCAUGAUAGAACUUUGUAUAAUCUACCAGUAGGUAAUCCAACCUAUAGUCCAAAGAACUAGUAAUAGACCAUCAAGAGAAAUAAAGAAAACACUAGAAAGGAAUCUUAUAAAGAGACUAAUAUAAAGAUAAAAUCCCAAAACCUGGUGAAGUCAAUAAAAGAGCUUGUAAUAUGAUAGGAAUACAAGUAAAAUGCAGAGUACAUAUAUAUAUACAAAGAUGUAUUUAGAUGUAAAAAAAAGACCAGUACAAUAAUAAGAGUAAGAACGGAAAUACUCUGAACGUCAGGAGCUCACCUCAAAUUUAUGAUCCAUAGCUACUCUACGCGAUUCACACUUCAAUGGUGAGAACUCGUACUAUAAUCUACAGGCUGCAGAAGUGUACUGUGAUUACUAAACACAUGGUACUCAACAGACAUCAAUAGACUGAUCUCCAAAGAUAAUAUAAGCAUAAAGAACACAUAAAGUAGAAAUAUAAACUACAAGCAAAUAUCCAUAUAAGCAUAAAGAACACAUAAAGUAGAAAUAUAAACUACAAGCAAAUAUCCAAGGAACUAACAUAAUAAUGUUAAUGGAGCAAUAAGGAUAAACUAUCCUAUUCAAAUAGUACUCAGGAACUAAAGUAAAACACUAUACAUCACUAUCCUAAAUAUGAAGGAAGAGCAAAAUAAGGAUGUAUAGUAGUAAUACAAGGCCAACGAUACAUAUACAACAUAAAUAGAUACAGAAAGAGAGGAAUAUAUGAUAAUGCCAUAUAUAUACAUAUGUAUAUAUAGCACUAAACUCAAAGGUAAUAACCUAAGAAUGCCAACCUAAUAUCUCGAGGAUCAUAUCUAAAUAAGGGAUCUAAUGCUAGCAUACUCAAAGCCUCUAACCAAAGUAUGACUAAUCAUGAGGUAACUUAACAAUAAUGCAUAUUACCAUGAUAGAAAGAGGAAAAUCAUAAGUGUACCAACAAUUUUGGUUGUUAGUCUAUAAUCAACUACCAUGGACUAACCAUAAUAACUAACAAUAAAGUAGUUAGUCAGUCUGGAUAAACAAUAACCUAAUUGAGCCUCGAUAAGCUUGAAAGGUCUAAUCAAGCACUCAAUAAAUUGUAACCACCACUUAUACCUCAAUAACACCCCAUAAGGCCAGUAGAUAUAAGCACCAAACAAUUAAAAUAGUGAUAGGUGAUGCAUAUGAAUGAAUGAAUUCAAGUGAAAUACAGUACCAUCAACCAAUCAAGUGUUGUAAUGUACCAAGUAUAUACACCUCCUCCUGCUUACUAGCUCGCAAAGGUAGGACCUACAAUGACUAUCCUUCUCCAAUACAGUGGCCCAUAGACGAAGGGGCCCAUAAAGGACUUGGCAUAUCCGUAUGCACUGCCUGGUUCCAAAUCAGGACUUCUAGUAACCAUCAUAAUCAAUCUACUCUGUCCAUUACUAGAGAGAUAUAUGUAUAAUAAAUGCUCAAAAUCAAACUUAGACUAGAAGAAUACAAAUCUAUAAAUUUGUUUAUCGAGAUCAAGUUUGAGACUAAAUUAGCAUAAUAUUGUAGAAAGGGUCAAAAUCUUCCUUGAUCAAAGUAAAUAGUACUAGUAAACUAGUGUGAAUCAAUAAUAGACCAAAAUCAACCUUGGUCUAAUUUUCAAAAUAAUAUGCUUAGUUUUAAGAUGUCUUAAAUCAAUAAUAAGGAUGGUACGACUUCCAUUUUAAAAAGAUUCAAUUUUAAUGUUAAGAAAGAUAGGGAUAAAACUCUUUUUUAGAAAAUAAUGGUAAACAAAGAUUUUAGCCAAAAUUGUACCAAUAAAUAAGUAUACAUGUACCUAAAUGUAUGUCAUCACCAAUAUCCAAACAAUACAGCCAUAAGCAUCUAUAAACUAUAACCAUAUUCUUACAAGGGAUAGAAUACUAACCUGGUAUCCAGCUAGUAUUGAAACCAUAGCAUCGGGCCCAAUGAUAUAUAACUCAAUAUGACAUUAAUAUCAUAAACUGAAAAACAAAGGUAAGCAAGGUCAUAAAGUUGUUAGAAGGGCCUAAUCAUUUAAUAUCAUCUAAUUCACUAAAUUAUAUGAUAAGUCUUAUACUAAAGAAUUUCUUAUGCAAUUCAAAGGUUAAUCAAGUCUAUCAUCAGGUGUAAUAGGAUCCUACUGCCUUCGUAGGUAUUCUAGGCUAAUGUUCAAGUCAUAUUUGUAUUCUAAAUCUAUUAAUCAGGUCAAUUCAUGCUAUAUCAAGGUAUAAAAAUAAUUCUAUAAUCCAUACCUAGCAUUUAAAAUACAUAAUACAUAAUCUCAUAGAGAUAAGUAGACCGAAGCCUACCUCAUCGAACUGCAACUCUUGAAUUACCCAUGAAUCACUCUUCUUUGCUCUAUGAUUCCAAACUAUCAUCACAAUAUCAAAAUAAUAAUAACCUACAUAUUAGUAUUAGUAAAACAACACUUAUAUUGUAAUAUAAAACUCAGGAUCCAAAAUUAAGCUAAAAAUAGAUUCAUGGGACCCACUAAUGAAAUUCUGAAAUUGAAUCUGUCAUGAGGUCCCUUGAAGCACAAGGCAUUUGUUCUCAAAAGUUGAGCACAAAUCGGAGCUCAAAUCAACCCUAAAUAAUAAUGAAACUAAAAGGGAAAAUUAAAAUUAAAUGGAAUAACUAGACUAAGAACUUACAAGGAAAUUAAUGGAAAAUGGUCAUUUCAACAUCCUCUACACAUUCCCAACCCAAAUUUGUGACUCUUCUUAAGUUUCUAGAGCUCUUGGAAGCUUUAAUGGCUGAAAGCCCUAAAAAGGGCUUAAAAUUGAGCAAGAGAGAAAUAUAAAGAUGCUGCUAGGGGUCUUUUAUAAAUGCAAGACCCUACUGCAACUAUGAGAUUGAAGUGGAAAGACCCCUUUCAAAAGUGUUCGAUUGACCACGAAUGCAAAGAGUAAACCUACUCCGGCUUACCCUUCUUAAAUGCGAUAGCUGGCUCAUGAAUGUAGAGGCCAACAUCCUUGACCUUUUCAAAUACAAAUAUAGCCUUGUGGGCGCAAAGACCAAAUCUUGGUUAAUCUGGUUUUUCAGAUUUAUUUGGAAUCCCAUGUGUGUUAAUGAACUAUACGGACAUACCAAAUUCAUCUUUCCAGACUCAUGAAACCAUUGAAAUUUAUAUUCAAGGUUAUUUUGACAAAAUGUGGACUUCAAAUCUAUAGUUCUAUUUUUUAUCAAUCCAAUUAAUAGCUCAAAAUGAAUUCAAAAUCCUUGAGACCCGGACCAAGGGUCCUUCUAGCCUAAAAUCAACAUUCACGAGCUGAAGGUAUUAUUGGAAUUCUCAUCCAACGCUGUUCACUAGGAGUUUUGAUUCGAGAUUAAUUUCUUAACAGUGAAAGCUCUAAAAUAGGAAAAUGAGUCUAAAACCCAUAUAAAAUAUCCCAAAAACAAACUGACAAUUUCAUUAGGACAUAAAUAAGUUGUAGCUACUAAGAAAAGGCACCAAAAACUAAAAAUCCAUGAAAACCAAGGUAAUGACCUAGAUGGUUAUUACAAAAGUGUCACCCAUCAAAGUAGUAUUUAAAACUUAGUCAUUUUGGACAUUAUUUUAGUGGAUCUACGUUAAUCAAUGUUCGCACUCUUAAUAAGGUACUUUCAACUUUCAGUACCUAAAAGUUAAAGCCAAGAUUAGAACCAUGUUUCAAGUACAUGUAGAAUUAAAAUUCACAUUUUGAUAUUAUAAGAAGUGAUUUAGAUAUGUAUCAAAGUCACAAGUAACUACUAGCUCAUAGCCAAGUUAAAACCUCUCUUACUUCUUACUGAUUGAUUUCUUGUGAAGAAUCUUAUUAUAGUCAACUUUAAAUGAGAAUGAAUACUAGAUUUUAACACUCUGAUUUUUUGAACUGAAAUGCUACAUGGUGCUCAUGACCCUGAAGGACCACAAGCUAACCCAUGAUGAUAUCUGUACCUGUAACUACAUAAUAUACAUAUAAAAUGUGGAAACAUGAACAAAGAGGGUGUAAGGUUCAAUCUUAAAUAAUAAAAUAUCUGAAAUAAGGUGGUAUCAUAGUACCAAAACAAAAUUAAAAAUACUAAAGUCUAAAUCUGAAAACUCUAUAAUCGUCUGAAAGCCUCUAAACUGUCUGAAUAAGGAGUUGAAAGAACAUGUCUCCAACUAACACCCUUAAUUAAAAAUAAACUGAAUACUGGAAUAAUAAAUGUAACAAUCAUAUCCUCGAAAGAUGAGGACUCACUGCUUAUUGAACUGCUACUGCUGAUCUGGAAUCUGAACCGCAGAACCUAUGGUGUAACAUAAAAAAAAACACCAUAGUGCAAAUGCGUCAGUACAACUAAAGUACUGAGUAUACGUGGGGGUAGGCUAAAUGCAUGAACAUUCUGACUAAUAUGAAUGUGAGAAUACAUACAUACGUAACUGCUACUGAACUCGUAGAGAUACUGACUACUUGAGUUUGAACUCUGACAACUUGAGUUUCGUGAUACUAAGAUACUGAAUGACUGAUAACAUGGAUGACUGUAUCUAACAGUCCUAAUUCUGGGGAAAACUAUCUGAGUUCCAAACUAUAUCUGAACAUCUAAGUCUGAGAUUAGUCCUAGCUAACGAGUGAUCUCUGAAACUGAUAAUGAGAAUACUCAACUGAAUCUGAGAUUGAGAUCAAGCCUGUCUGACAGGUGACCUCUAGAUCAAUAAUAAGCAUUUGAAUAUGGGACCAAGCCUAUCUAAUGGGAUGGUCCAGGAAUCAAUAGAACUAUCUGAGUUCCUUACUGAGAUCGAUGACUGUAUCUGACAGUCUUGAUUCCUGAUUCCUGAUUUCUACUCUGAAGACUGAUACUGAAAUUGUAACUUUAACUGUGACUGUGGGAGGUAGUAACCUAACCGACAUGCCUCGAUACGGUACUGUUGGGGUCCAAUAUUUGCCCUGAUUAGAAGGGUGUCAAUACCGUGCCACGGGUAGAGACCUCUACUAUGGUCAAGCUUUUCGGAUGGGUGACCCUAAACAGAAAAUCAAGCCUAAGGUAAUAUAAUAGUCAAGUAUAGCCUUAGUCUGAUGGGUGAAUCUUGUCCUACGCUGGCUACAUAGUUCUGGAGUACAGGGAUUGCUGCUAAUGGCUCUGCCUUUAUAACGAGAAAAAUUGCCAUCCCUGAACUUGCUCGGUGCUAGUCCCUACUCCCAACUGAAAGACUCUAAAAAGAUUAACUAAGCUAAACUAACUGAACUGAACUAAUUUAUAAACUAAUUAACUGAGCUGAACUAAGCUGAAUUCACUGAGUUUCGUUGACUGACAGAAAAGCUACUUGAGAUUUGAGGUCUGAUUGAGAGUACUGAAACUACUGGGACUACUGAACUAUUAAGAUUCUGAGUUUUUCUGAGUCACGUGAUUAACUAAAAUCUAUGGAGCAUAUCUUGAUUGAGGAUGUCUUGAAACAUGACACUAGCUCUAGGCACACAACUAUAGUUUUUGGGUAUAAGUACCCCCAGGACUUGAUGGAAGGAAACUGACACACAUGACUGACUUGAUCAUAAGAGUAGAGUCCACAAUUCACAAUAUCAUAAGUAAGGAUUUCAUAAUAAGAAUGAUUCUCAACAAACUGUCACAUGAUCAGGAAUGCACACAACAUGUAUAUACUUGCACGGAUUCAAUAACAUGGUCAUUCCAUAUCACAAAAAUAUCAUGAGCAUCUCAUACAACAUCUUCAAUUCAAGAAAAUAGCAUGGGGAUCACGUUGAACAUAAACUUAGAACAUGGAAUAGUCAUUUAGGACUUAUUAUGUCAUAAAAGCAUGAUUUCUAUUCCCUUAGGUAUUUUCACAAACACCUUACAUGCGCAUCUUAGGCAUAGGUGGAUUUAUCAAGAUUACAAAUAUUCAACCACCAAUUUCACAUAUUUAUACAUUAAAUACCACCAUAUCCUUACACAAAACAUAUAAAGAUCCCAUCUUAGGCAUCAUCAAACUCCAACCAUAUGAACAUCAACCACCAACAACAUAAACAUCAUAAUACAUAAUUUAGAAGAUGGUUCUUGAGCUUCAUGGAUGAAAGGAGUCCAUGAAUCAACUCACACAUACCUUAGAAGGAAGAUUUUUGAUGAUUGACGGGGGAAUUUCCUUGAAAUUGGAUCUUCAAGCUUAAUUAUACAACCCUAGUUGUUUUUCUCUUUUAGUGCUCUUGGAUGAUGAACUUAAGAUGUUAGUAGGGUUGUAAUGUAAUUAGAAGUUAUAUAUUUCAUAGGGUUAAGUUUAGGGACAUAUAAGGAGUAUUAAAAUACUUAAUUACCCUCAAAAUAACUCAAAACGGAGUGUUUAAGUCACUUGAAGCCAUAAGAUAUGCACCGCAUAUGAUAUCACAUAUAUUUAUAUAGACGUCGCAUAUGAUAUCGCCUAUAUUUACAUAGGCGCCGCAUAUGCUAUUGCAAAUGCUUUCCAGUGGCCAUGUGCGAUUGGUUAGGCGACGCACUCUACUUCGCAAAGCCAUAACCCCUAGCUCAAGUGGUAGAUUUUGAUGAAAUUGGUAUCGUUGGAAAGCUAAUUCGAUUCUAUAUAAUUUUUUGUAUAUAAAUAUGCAUAAAUACCACAUUAACAUCAAGUUAUACUCAUUCAAAUAUGACCCUUAUGAAAUCGAACACUAAAACUUGAUGGAUUCGAAAACUCUUCGCUUGUAUUACCUUAAGUGACUCAUAUGAACAUGCUUAAUGCAUCAUAAGCUAUCUUAUCGCUAGGAUACGCAUUGUAAGUCAUGUACUCAAGUAUGAAUCACAGGAUAGGAUAUUUCAUAUGUAGAAAAAAUGGUUCGUCUCCUAGCUUAGAAACAUGCAGGGUAUUACAUAAAAACUGAAGUACUUUUAAGCUCAAGACCAAAAAAUUGAUAGAUAUUUGAAUUAUAUUUCCAAUGAAUCUAAUUUUUUAUUAAUCUAGUAAUGGAGUAAAAAGUUAUGAUCAUUUUAUUGAAGAACUGUCAAAGCUGCAAACAAUGGGCCGUCGGAGGCACAACGGGUCGUGGGAUAGCCCCAUGAGUUGUGGAUGGAUCAUGAGGGAAGUAGAAAUAAAUUCCUAGAAAAUGAAUCAGGCCAAGACCCAUGGAAAAUCCCUAUGUGUUGCCACGUGAUUCAUUGGGACUGAUUCCUACAACUUUCCACAUGAUUUUAAAAGAGUUCUUUGGUCUUUUUCACUCUUUUAACACUUGUCAUUUAAGCUAUUUUAAGGCUGAUUAUUAAGCUUAAUAUUAUCCAAAGUCUCUAAUCCAAAGUCCCUCAUUCCUCUUAGUAAAAUUGAGAUUUAGCAAAAACACAGAGAAAUAGGUGAUUUUUUUCCCAAGAUUGAAUUAGGUUUCUUCAACUUCAGUCCCCAAGUUCAAAGAUUUAUUCAAGAUUCUUGCCUACAGUUAUGUAGGAUUUCAUCUAUGGGUUAUAUUUCACCUAUUGAGUCCUAAAUUUAACUCAAAUCCUCAGUUUAAUUCUUUCUCCAUAGUCUAGGGUUCAUGAAUACUGUGGAUUCCUUGAUAAUUUAGUUCUUUGUUAACAUUGAGAUAUAAACCCAUAUUUUUUCAUAAAUUUCAGUAUCAUUGCAUGUCUAUAAUUAAAAUUCCUCAUUAUAUUAUGUAAUCUAUGAUUCUCAAACUUGAGUUAUAAAAUUUCUUAUUUUGUUUAGUUUAUGGUAAUUAGCAUAGUAGUUGCAUUCUUCAGAGAUGGUGGGUUAUGAACACCCGGUGACCUAAGAUUUCAUGCAUAUAUUUUUUUGAAUACUCAAUCCUUCGGUUUUCAUCAUUUGAUGCUUUCAGAUAGAGUACUUAUUUUUAAUCUUCAGAAUAUUAAUAUUAUUAAGCAUUUUAAUUAUUAGUUAUUAGUCAGUUAGGAGUAGUACUUAGCACCGAGCGAAUGCAGGGAUGAAGUUCUACCUGUUAGUUAGGGCUGAAACCUUUAUUUGAAGUUUAUAAGUCCCAGAAAUAUGACAAAAAUAUAGGUUUUAAAGGGUUACUAUUAGAUCAGACUUGACAACUUAGUCCCUUUGGACAUCAGUUUAGUAAAUCUACAUUAGUCAAUAUUCAUACCCGUAGCAAGUUACUGAACAACCUUCCAGUUUAGGUUAUGAUUUGAACCCCAAUUAGCUCAAAUUGGGGUAUGUCAAUUAAUUAUAGCUCCCAUAGUCUAUGAUUUAUGUUCAAUAUAUGUAUGACCUUAUAUUUAGUUUGUUCAGCUUGCUAUACCACUAUAUGUUUAUUACUUGGCAUUGUAUUAGUUUGCAUGUCUCAACUUCAUAUUCAGUUUACCAUGUUACCUCUAGCAUAUUGAACUUAUAUUAGAUCAUGCAUAUCUUACAUGAUCAGUACAUUUAAAGUACUAACUAUGUACUUCUUUGUACUAAAUUGUCUUAUAAUAUAGGUUCUGACAUCCAACACCCCACUCGAGGCUAGUACGAUUCUUCCCCAUAUCAAUAAUAGUGUUGGGUGAAUCCUCAUCAUUAGAGGGACAUAUACCAGUAUUCUUUCAGUAUUAAUUUAGUUUCAGACAGUUAGAGUUAGUUGGGGGCUUUUCCCAACAACUCAUCUUAUUUAGAGGCUUUCAGAUGGUCGGCUAGAUUAUAUUUUUAGCUCUAUAGGUUUUAUUUAGAUAAUUUCACUUGAGCUUAUUAGAAAAUUUAAUAUCCAUAUUGUUAACAUAUGUAUCUAUGAUUUCUAAUUUAUUUCAGUUUUUAUAGUGUCACGCCAGUUCAUGGGUUAGCUUGGGGUCACUUGUGGCUCUAUGCACCGUGUUACGACUCGGGAGUAGUCUCGGAUAGUGAAAUUUAGAGAGUCAAAUAUCAAACCCACAAGGACUUAUAGUUAACUCUUUACUAAAUUGAACAAGUUAAAAUUAUUUACUCAAGCUAUUAAAUCUCAAUAUUUAGAUGAUUUUUUAUUAUGCUACAAAUUACUAAAGAAAGAAUGUAAUUGAAAAUAAAUGUCAUGGAGGUUGUUCAGAUAGAAGCCGAGACCUAGGGUUAUGGUUCUUGUACAGACCCAUCAUAUUAUUAUAUAGUUGAUAAACUUAUUCAGGAUACCACAAAGUUGCUAACUCAUGUGGUUGAUAUUAUGGUCAUGAGCUCUCAUAUCCUUUUGCCAUUAAUCCAGAUUAUCCUUCUAACUAUAUUGCUGAGAGAUUAUAGUUGAACUAAUAUGAAUGCAUUCAUUUGUCUUUCUAUAUUCAAGCCAAGUAGGUAAAACUAUGUAUGGAUCUAUUCUAGAUGCAACCCUAUCCGCAAAUAUAUCAUAUUCCCCUUAUCUCACAUUCUAUUCCUAGUCACCAUAUCUCAAGUUCUUCUAGGAAUUAUCUAUUUGUCCUAUUAGUAGCUACACAAUAGAAUAGUAAGCACAAGAUUAAGAUAAAAAAUAUAAUAAUAAAACCCUCUAUAAGAAUCUAUGUAAAUAUGACAAUGCUCACAUUAUGGUCAUAAUCCUAGAAAGAGGGUUUUUCUUUAUUCAACAUCUGAUUACAAAGUUAUUACGUAUGUAUGGAGAAGAAAUACUGUAAAAAGAGAAUAGAAAAGAAGUAACCCCAUAUAAUGGGGCAUUUGCCCUUGCUCAAUGCCUCCAUAAUGCUCACCAAAUAAUAAUGAUUCUCCUCAUACAAAUGUCUAAGGAUAGGAUAUUUAUAAUAUAUAAAAACACCAUAAAGACUCUUCUAAAUUGGAUUAGGACAAGGGAAAAUCUUUCCCUUGCUAAUAAUGGCUCACGACUCGAGGUACUCCUGUUUACCCUGAAGCUCGUGUAUCAAGGUCUAUUUUCCUGCUAUAGGAUUUUGAAUUUAGGGUAUAAACUUGAGAGAGGGUAUAGUUUUUACCCCUUAUUUUCUUUGAAACUUGCUCGACAAUCCUCUGGCUUUGCUUUGGAUGUUUCUUCGCAAAAUCCUUCCACUUUUACUCCACUAUAAUUUAUUUUUAGAUUUUUUCCUCCUAAACUGCACAAAACACAUUACAUAAGUGAUGAAACAUGUAAUCAAACAUAAACCACUAAUAUCAAGUUAAUUAUUCUCAGCAUAAAUUAUAAAUGUAGGUAAAGUAGUGAAGAGUGUCUAUUUAACACACAUAAUUUCUCUAAAUUUUUUACAUGUUUCAUUUAUGAUUUUUUGGUUGUCCUUUUAGAUUAUAUAGCUUUAUUAUGUUUCUUUCUGCUAUUUUAUAUCCAAUAAUAUUUACAUAUAUUCUUGAUUCCCCUUUUUUUAUGCCACUGCAUUUUAAAUAUGCAGACUUAGUGACACGAUCCGACCGGGGCCUUGUCGUAAUGGGCAAUCUCAAGUCCAAUCGAGACCAAAGACCACCCCGAUACCCAACCCAACUAACCAACAUGUACCCUGAGUCGGAUGAACUCCGAACAGAUACCAAGAUAAUAUACUUAUAGAUACAAUAACUCUGGGAUAGGCCUACUUUCUAGACUAACCCAACCAAGUCUAACCACCCAAAAUCCUACCAAUAAUCACGCCGAAACCAUAAAACAAAACCAAAAUGAUAACCCAAUGUAUAUACAAAUAUAUAAUUUGAUCAAUCCAUACUCAAGUCCACAGUUGUCCAUACAAAGCCUUCAAAUCAAAUCAAAGAAUAAUAAGUCGAUACAUGCUCCCGACCAUAGCCAAAAACUUAAGUCUAUGACAGACAAAUAUAUGUAAAGUAAUCCAUGACAAGAAAUAGAUGUCUUCUAAGCUAUGGAAGCUAACCACUUCAAUCCAACACCGACUGUUCCCAAGUUCGAUCAAUGAGAAGGAGUAGUAGUAUGGCCAGUUCUUGCAUCAUAUGGGGAUACAAUCAUCCAAAGAUGUGUUAGCGAGUAAAUGUUACCAUGCACUCAGGAUAAGAAUAGAAUAAUGUCAAUCUUUAAAACCAAGUAAACCAACUAUAUGCAUACAAACCAUACAUAUAUAUAUAUAGCCAUGCUUGGAAAGAAAACUAGGUUUAACAUGUCUUUAAAACCAUUAACCUGGAUAUGUGAAGCUUAACGAUCCUAGAACCACCCACGGGCUAUAUGGAUCCAGUGUAAUCUCUUGAAUGACCCUCAAUGCCUGUAGCCACAUGAAUUGGAGAUACCAUAAGAGUACCCAAGUAUCCUUAGCUCUCCAUGAUAUAUAUGUACAAAUAUCCUUAGGGGAUUCCUGUGUACCCCAGAAGUAUCAUAUAUGAGGUCAUCAUGACCUAUCCUUAUGUCGACAAAAAUGAUUUUUCAGUGUUCAUCCCUUGGACUCCCGCCUUCACAGUUAGCUAUCACACCCCUCCAUUAUUUCCCAAUUAAAACCAUUACCAUUAAAUCAAACCAUUAUACCAUUUAUUAUUAAACAAGGCUAUAAAAUUGGUAUCGUCAUCCAAUUAUAGCUUGCAAGCAAUGUCCUUGGACAACCCUAGGGGAUUCCCAUGUACCCCAUUGGUUACAUUAUUUAGUUUACUUGGGAGAUUCCGAUGUACCCUGAAAGUACAUCAUCAUUAAGCUUACUUGGGGGAUUCCCAUAUACCCACAAGCAUUUCAUUAUUAAGCUUUGCUUGGGCGGUUUCCUUGUACCCCACAAGAUAUUCAACAUUCAAACCAAUUUCAUUAUUUUAUCCUCUUGGGGUAUUCUCAUAUACCCCACAAGGUUUUCAUUUAAAUCAAUUUCAUAGCCAUCAAGGCUUUACUAUUUCACCAUUCCAAUCAUUCACACUAUUUAUACAAUUUUAAACCAUUCCAAAUAUCUAAAACAUUUAUACCAUUUAAAACCAUUUAAAUCAAUGCAAAAACAUCCAAAUCCAUUUAGAGUUUCAUUACCAAACCAUACCAUGUAAUAAUUCCAAUGAAAAUUCAACAAUAGAGUAAAAAUAUUCUCUUAGGCAUUUUAUCAAAUAUGUUGAGGGCAUACCUAUUCCAAGAAUAAAACCAAAGCAUAAACCAUCAAAAUAAGGGUUACCCAUGACCCAUUUAUUAAACCACAACCAACAAGCACUCACAUGUGCAAACCAUCACCAAAAAUAUGUGAAAACAUAAUUUAAACCAACAUUCAACAAUAUACAUAAAAACCCUCAACAUAUGUUUCUAAAACCACCAUUUAUGAUUCAUAAUUCAAUGUUUAAAACAUAUUAAAUCAUUCCUUUAGUUGAAACUAACAAUCAGGGAAGGAGUACAUACCUUAUACAAGAAGAUUCCGGAGUGAAACUUGAUUCGUGUGCCCCUUAAAAAACACUUGUAGAAACCCUAGCCUCUAAUCUGCAAGAGUGGGUGUGAGAGAGUAUUUUGAAAUGUUCUAUUCUUCAAAUUGUAUUAUGAUAGGACAUCAAGGGUUAUAUAACAUGAGUACAUAAGGGUUUGAGGUUAGAAAUAUCAGGACUACCCUCAACUUAAAAGCUGAAAAUUAAGUCCUAGGAGGGUACGACCCAACCUCCUUUGUCGUACCCUAGACCUCACCACGAUCCCUUAUACUGAUCAUAAUACGACCACCUAGGUAUAAGUAGUAUCUUAGGGUACGAAAAGUACCCACAAACUGUAUCUUGGACAAAUUCAACUAAACUAGUCCAUAAGCUCCAUACGACUUGGAAUCAUACACCUCGUAUCCUUCCAGACGACUAGUAUGAUGCUGAUUUGUACCUUGGGUAUAACCCAACCAAAAACACACUGCCUAACAUAUGAUAGACAUCCCAAAUCGUAUCUUAGGGUACGAUUGGUACCCUUGAGCCGUACCUUGCUCAGAGUGUCCAAAACUCAUAAAUUUUUGAAAGGGAUAAGGUUUAGGGUGUUUAAAUUAGGUAUUUCGAAUGAUUGAGCAACAUUAUAAAUUUCUUCAUGUAGCUAUCUGGUGAACCCCACUUGCUUGUGGGGCCCAGUCAUUAUUUCAACUUUUCUAGUUUGCUUAUAUGUUUUGUUGGGGGUGUUUUUGGUGAAGAAAUUUAUUCACGGCAUGGCAGAGGCUUUUUAAUUUAAAUGAAUCUAUGAUGUUCAAUGAUGUAAACUAGGAAAAUCUUUCUGUAUUAUUAGAUAUUAAUUUUUUUUUAUUUAAACUAAUAUUAUAACUUGAAUUUCUUUCUUCAUAAAGAUAUUUUCUUGUGAUAUGAAUUUAUUUCAUCUAUUCCUAAUAUGUUUUGGGUCAUGUCAUGUAGUUGGUUAGCUCGGAUACGUUAAUGCAUUGGGUGCCGCUCCCAUCUAGGCCUAGGGUCGAGGCAUAACAUGGUGUCUUUUUUUUCAUCUAUUAUGGUCUUAGACUCUCUAUUAAAGGGUCUUAUUUAAUAAUUUUAUCAAUUGUCAAGGUUUGCAUAAGUUAGAAGGAUUUUUGUCCACCUAGCAAGGUAAUUUGAUGGUAUUAGGUUGAUGAAGUAUUAAAUUGCUAUGAGUGGGUAAAGUGAGGAGGUUGAGAGAAUUAGGUUGAUGUUAAAGGAUAAUACUAUGAUUGUUAGAUAGGAAAAGGUAUUUCAAGAUCAUGUGUUUCUACUUGAAUCAAAGUUUUGAUCCGAUGAAUAAUAUACAUAAUCGAAGGCUAAGGAAUUGAACUUUUUGUUCACAACUUCAAUAUAGUACGACGGUUCAUAACUUCAUAUAUACAAUUUAUCUAGAGCUUCCUAUUAGUUGUACCAACUCUAUCUAUGAUGCCUUCUAUAACAAUAGUCUAAAUCUAUCACAUGUGGGAGUCUUAUCUAUGCUAAUAAUACUUUUUAUAGAAAACUCGUACCAUUACUAGGGUGGCUAUGAACAUAGGUGGCUAGGCACUUGGACUUCAAUCACGGAUUUAUCCCUAUUUUGAAACAUGCUGAAUCAUGACCAUAUUCUUCAACAAUUCCUUACCUAUAUCUCUCAUUCGAUAUACCAACAAUCAAAGUGAUUCCUCUAAAAAUCUUGUUCUCAUGCUCAUACCAAAUAUGUUGAUCUUGUAUAACAUUUCACAUUUAGAAGGUUGUUUGAGGUGAAUGGAUACAAGAUUUAUUUCAUCAUAUUUUCUAUUGCUAUAUGUCUUUACAAAAUCUCCAUAAAUUCAACCUGAUGCACAAUUAAAAUUACUGAAGAAAAUUUUUGGUUCAAGGAUCAAUAGAUUCUACUUUCCAUUCAAUUAUCAUCUUCUUCGGUUCUUAACUUCUAAUGGUACCUAAUCUCAAGAACCAAAUAAGCACUAAUUGAGUGUAGUUAGAAUUUAUAUCUUAUUGAAAGUUUAAUUUUUUUUGUACAUAUUUGGGAUAAAUUGAAGAUCUUAGAAUGUUAGUAAAGAGAGAAAUAUGAUAUGUAAAACUCAACAAUACACUCAUUUAUAUUGAAGUCAAGCAAAAUAAAUACAGUUAAAUAGUCUUGAUCGUGUUUUAAUUUGUAAUAAAGCACAACAAUAACGCCUUAAAUUUUCUUUUUUUUUCUUUUUAUAAAGAAAGAAGAAAGGUUCUUUAGAUCAUAAAUGUCCCAAAAACAAUCAGAAAAAUAAAGGAGAAGUAAAGGACCAAAGUGGCCCAAGAAUGAAAAAACAAAAGAACCAGAUAUACUUUCAGACAAGAUUCAAAUAGCAAUCCAGAUAUACUUGAAGUUGAUGAAGACCUCCAAAGCACAUCGGAGCAAGGAUCUGAGGGAAUAUAUGGGAAUCUUUUCUAGACAAACUUCACUUGAGAAGAAAGUUUUUGAGCCAAAGUGCAGAACGUUUGGGAUAUCUCUUUAAAUUGUCUUCAUAAUCAAUAAAAUUAAUACCGAAUCUCUGUGUGUAACCUGAAAACCAUUCAAAAUUAUCCAAAAACGACCAUGUAAAGUAAACCUUAAUAACUACGCUACACCUGUAACAAAAAAAUGUCACAAUAUUAUCAUCAUCUUUUAUAAUGCAAAGUUGCUUUUGUAAAAAAUCUGAAGUAUAAAUAACAUUAAAUAUGAACCAUACAUGCAUAUACAAAACAUGUCCAAAUAUCGAAUUUGAUCAUAAACUUUGUUCCUCCUAAAAAUAAUUAAGACUUGUUUUUUGUGAUAGGAAUUAGGGCAUGGGUAGACUUAAGGGCAACAUUAAGGGCCAAGAGAUGGCGAUGGAUAAAAUCUACCCGCUGAAAAUCAUUCACUCCAUGUUCAAUUUCUGUUACAUUAGCAUCACUCAUUCCUAAUCAAAAAUCAAAAUAUUAGUUUAUAUUUCUGAAGAGUAAUUAUGGAAAUCUAAUUCAAAUUAUUACAUACGAGACCAUUAAUGGUUAGCUCUAUUUUUACAUACCAUUUUUCGUGAUAUAAAUUGUAGGAUUUCUAUAGUUUUUCUUUAUGUAGAGCAGUAAAUUGUGAAGUCCUUCUGGGGUUACAAAAAAGGUAGUCGAACCCGUCUGUAGUUAACCCCAACAAAAAAGAAAUUGAAAACAACAAAAAUAAUAAAAUGCAAUAGUGAAGAUAGAAUUUACAUGGGAAGAAAAGGGUAAGGUUUUUACUGGUUCUCCGAUGAAUACCCUAUUCCAUUCCACUACAAAGUUUAAGGGGAAAAAGUGAGAAAACAACAAACAAGAAGAAGAAUAAUGUCACAAAUAUAUAGGUAUUAGGGAUGGGGUGGUUUGAAAUAUUAAUAUGGAUAUUAAUUCACUAUUUUACAUCAUGAAAUUCUAUUAGGACUUACUUGUUAAAUCGACUCGAGAAUCACUUGAAUAGCUAAUAUUCACUUUAUAUGGGGAAAUCAUAUCAUAUGCAUAGUAAGAAGUAUAGUAAUUUAUGCCCAAGAAAUCAUAGGAACUCUUCACCAUUGCAGCUUGCUUUGUUGUAAAUUUUGGUAAGCGAUCUCCCACAAGUCUACACAUAUUUUUUGGAUAGUCACCAUAAGUUAACGGAUCUAUAAAACUUCCACAAAGAAUGCAAUGGAUUAGUAGAUAUAUUAAAAACUAUUAGAAAUAGCUUAAUUAAGAAUUGUACUAACCACUCAAACAUGAAGUCGAUGGCUCGCUUAGCAGGUUUUGCAUCUUGUUUAGUCUUGGAGUAGGGUUCAAACCAAUUAGACCACCAAUACUAUUCCUAUCUCGCCAUUUUGUGAUGUCUAUAUAAUUUAUCAAAUUCAAAAGAAAGGAUAAGUCAAUAUAUUUCUUGUUGCACACAGUUAUUUGCAAUAAGUUUUGAAAAUACUUCCCAAUUAUUCUAGCUAGUUCUCUCUCUAGAAUGACGUCUUCUCUUAGCUAGGGCUGAAAUGGCGAGAAAAUUGAAUGCUGGAGAGAGGGAUAAUGGUGAAAAGGGUAUAAGAGGAUAGAAAAUAGAUGACACAGUGAUUGGACGAGGUCCACAAAUGGCUGAUGCAAAAAAGUGUAGAGUUUUAGUAUGAUACAGGGGGUGCUGCCGCUUGACUUACAACAAGGAAGAGCAAUCACACCAUUGACAAUUGGCACAACAAUGGAAACCAGAAGCCCAAUAUCCAUAUCGUGGGAAAAGCGAGUAGAGAAGGAGGAAGAUCUAAGUAAGACAGAGGAGGUGCAGUCAGAAAUUAAGGCAAAAUAAUGGAGUACUGCUGUGGGAAAAUCUAUACCAAUGGAAGGGUUCGACUUGAGAAGUGAGUCAAACUUGGAGGCAAAUGUCAAAAUUACACUUGACGACGUCAAGGAGGAGAUUGAGUAUUGGCAUUCAGCUAUCGUAUGCUUUGUUCUGGGAUCUAACCCAUCACUAAUAGUUAUUGAGGGAUUUUUUAAAGUAGAUUUACGGCUCCAUGGGAUUAGAUAAAGUUGUUCAGAUAAGUAAAGGUGUGUUUAUUGUUGGCUUCCAUGCUGUGAGAAGUAAUACAAAAGCUGUGAAGCAGGGUAUACAAAUGUUUGAUCAAAAAUAAGUGGUGGUGAAGCCAUGGCAAUUGAACAUAGAUCUAAGAAAGGUUAUGGUGGAAUGGAUACCUAUUUGGAUCAGACUCAAGGGUCUGGACUUGAAGUACUGGGGAUAAAAUGCACUGACUAAAAUUACAGGGCUUGUGGGGAAUCUAGUAAAGGCUGACACAACCACUACUGCAAUAAAGAAGCUGAUGUAUGCAAGGGUGAUGGUAGAAAUGCCCUUUAAUAAGAUAUAUUGGUACAGGUGGUGGAAUAUGAGUUGAAACCAACACUAUGUGAGCAUUACAAGAUUGUUGGGCAUACUAAAGAAAACUGCAGGGGUUUGAUGAGAAGAGCAAAUCGUACAAAGGCACAAGAAAAAAUAAAGGGUGUGGUUGAUAUGUCUAAACCAACUGAAAGCAAAUUAAUAUCUGGUAAACCAUAGAGCCCUAAGAAAAUUGGGGUGCCACAAAAAUAUAGUGUGCUUAAGACCAGACGAAAUAUAUUUUUUUUCAUAGUAUUCUCAAGACCAGACGAAAUACAUAUAGGAUAUUUAGGAUAUAGGAUUUUUAAGGAAAGAUUGUCACUAAUACUCAAGGAAUUGCUCAAUCCUUUGUGGACUUAUACACUUCAUUGCUGGGUACAUCGCUGCAAAGUAAAGUAAGUGUCUACAGCUCCAUAGUGAAAGGAGGUCCUGUAAUCUCGGCUAAUUAGAGAGAGAUAAUAAGUCAAAAUUUUACUAAAAAAGAGGUCAAGACAGCCUUAUGGGGCAUUGAAGGGGAUAAAGCCCAUGGGCGUGAUGGCUAUGGAAGCUAAUUCUUUAAGGAUGCUGGAAAAUAGUACUACAAAUCUCAUUACAGAAGUGAUGGAAUUUUUUCAGACAGAAAAAAUGCUUAAGGCUUGGAAUACCACAUUGCUAACCAUUAUCCCCAAGCAUGAAAAUGCCAAUACACUGGAAGAUUACCAUUCAAUUGCAUGUUGCAACACAAUUUAUAAGGUGAUAUCCACGAUGUUGACGAAUAGGUUAAAAAAAGUUCUGUUAAGUGUUAUUUUAGCUAACUAGUGUGAUUUUGUAUAGGUUCAAAUGAUUUAUCAGAAUAUCCUUAUUUACUAAGAUCUUGUCCGAUUGUAUAACAGGAAGCAAACUUCUAGUAGCUUUUUGAUCAAAAUAAACCUACGCACAGCGUACGACACGGUUGAAUAGAAAUUUGUUAAGGAAAUGAUGCAUGCUCUGAAUUUUCCAAAUUGAUUUAUUGUGUGGAUAAUGAAUUAUAUUUCUAUAGUACAAUUCAUUAUUGAAUUGCAUGGAAGAUUAUAUGGGAGUAUUACAGGGAAAAGGGGACUUUAUCAAGGGGAUCCUAUUUCCCCUCUUCUUUUUAUCAUUUGUAUAGAGUACUUCACUUGUAUUAUAGGGUUUGUUGCACAUCGGGAUGAAUUUGGGUUUCAUCCUAAAUGUCAUUGUAAUAACCCGAUCGUUCCUUAAGUCUAAAUCAGUCUUUUGAGUGUAUGGAAAUGACUUCCAAAGUGAAUGAUAAUUGAAUGAUGUAUAAUUUACCUAAUUCCAAAUUUUUGUCCUGUAGAGCAUUGAAUAAGCUUUCCAUCGGUACCAAAUUUGCCCAAAUCCAACACUCGGGUCAAGAGUUAAAGUCAUUUUAGUGAGACAGUGUGCCACCUAGCACUUUAGCGCGUUGCGGAGCCAGCCAAAUUGGCAAUUGUCAUUUUCCAGUGGGCCUCCAUGAUAUUGACGCGUCGCACCAAGGCUCAAUAUUAGGAUUGUCAAAUUCCAAUGCAUUAACACGAUUCCACUGCGUUGCGGUGCCUUUCCAGGUCACAACUAAAGUAACAACACAAUUUCACCGCGUCGCGCCACUGAGCAUUUUCUCAAUUGUCCGAAUCCAGUGUAGGACUAUGAUCCUAGCACGUCGCACCAGGGCCAAAAAUUAGGCUCCAAUUCUAGAAUUUUCUCAAGGGUAUUUUGAUCUUUUCCACCCGUUCUUACCCUCUUUCUAUAUAUCCAAGUAGAGAAGAGAAAUU
rnacentral:lncRNA from 1 species